AAUAUAAAAAGUAAACGCACGCAAUUCAGACACACGAGGCCUGAGCUCUCGUACGUCCUUUAAAAUAAACUGAUUUAUCUUAACAUAACUGUGGAUCUGGAUCUAACGAUCGAUCAGAUUACGUUUUAUAAGAUAUAUAUAUAUAUAUAUAUAUAUAUAUAUAUAUAAAAUUAGGCUGGAAUACUAUUAAUAGUAAAGCGCUCUUUUUGUUAUCAAAUUUUUAAUCCUUGGAUGAAAAAUUGUAGGGUCAGGAUGAUAUUAGUUAGUUGAGUGGUCCCCCUAGGGUUGAGUCGUCCCUAGUGGGUUAUAGUAUUUAAUCCAAUGGAUAGAAAUAAUGAAAAGAGUUGAUCCAAAGGCUAAAAAACUGGUAGCAACAAUAGGAUUUUGCUACUAAUAGUAGCCCAGUCCAACUCUAUAUAUAUAUAUAUAUAUAGAGAGAGAGAGAGAGAGAGAGAGAGAGAGAGAGAGAGAGAGUCCGGCUGGGGUACUAUCGAUAGCACCAAGAAUUUUGUACUAUCGAGUUUUCCACCAUUAGAUUUAAUCCUUUAAUUAUUUUUAUCCGUUAGAUUAUACUAUUCAACCAACCACUCACUCAACCCUAGGACCCACAUCAUCCUAACCACCCAUUUCUUAAUCCAAGGGCUAAAAAAUCAAUAAAUUAAUAGCACCAAUAGCUUGGUGUUAUUUUUUUGAGACAGAUAAAUAGCACGCUACUCGCUUCAUUUAUUUCAUUUAGAAAUAAACUUAACUGGAAAUGUGAAUCAACUAGGAUUCGAACUUGGAUCUCGGGUACCAACCACCAAGCCCUUUGCCACUAGCUUGGUGUUAUUGAUAGUAUUCCAGCCUAGUCUAUAUAUAUAUAUAGAGAGAGAGAGAGAGUCCGGCUAUUGUGCUUGUAAAAGCACCAAGUACUUGGUACUUGUAAAUUUUUUACCGUUAGAUCUACGCCUCGGAUCAUUUUCAUCCGUUAGAUUAUAUUAUUCAACCAACCACCCACUCAACCCUAAGGGGCCCACAUCAUCAUAACCGCACAUUCCUUAAUCCAAGGGCUAAAAACUUACAAGCACCAAUGAUUUGGUACUUUUAAAAGCAUAGGAGCUCCAUUAUAUAUAUAUAUAUAUAUAUAUAUAUAGUAUAUUAUAUAUAUGACGAGUGAGGCUACUAUGCUAUCGAAGCACGGAGUCUUCUCCGUGCUUCCAGCUCGUUUUCAAUAUGCGACUUUCAAUCGCGAUCAGCUCCGUUAAACUUGAUCUAGAGUAUUUAAGUACCUAGAAAUAAAUUUUAUGAUUUUGACGAUAUCAUUUGCCCAGUGAACAAAGGGGCUCAAAAUCAACGGCUGAAAAUAAAAAUCUAUAAAAUGUAAUAAUAUGACAUUAAAAUUUGAAAUCAAAGAUAUUGAUCUUUUUUAUAUAUUAUAAAAAAUUUUCUAAUCAAAAUUUCACGUGAUUUGAUAUUUCUUAUAACGUUAAACUUGCAAACGGCUCACUACGGCCUUUGAAAUUUGUUGAUUUUGAGCCCAUUCGAUCACUAGGCAAAUAUAUCGAAAAAUAAUAAAAUUUUUUCCAGUACUCAAUACUCUAGAUCAAGUUUAACAGAGCCGAUCGACGAUUCGAAAGUCGCAACAUCAAAACGAGCUGGAAGCACGGAAGGCUCCGUGCUUCGAUAGCAUAGUAGCCUCACUCUAUAUAUUAUAUUAUAUAUAUUAUAUAUUAAUAUAUAUAUAUAUAUAUUAAAGCUGCGGCUAAAUCUUAUGGAAGCACGGAGGGCUCCGUGCUUCCACUUUGUUUUCGAUGUUCGGACUUUCGAAUCGACGAUCGGCUCUGUUAGACUUGAUUUAGAGUAUUUGAAGUAUCUAGAAAAUAAAUUUAGCGAUUUUUCGAUAUCAUUUGCCGAGUGAUCGAAGUGGCUCAAAAUCAACGGUUGAAAAUGAAAAUCUUACAAAAUAUGAUGAUAUAACAAUAAAAUUUUAGAUCAAAGUUAUUGAUAUUGUUUUAUAUGGUAUAAAGAAUUUCCUAUCAAAAUUUCAUGUGAUUUGGAUAUUUCUACACCUAAACUUGCAACCAGCUCACUACGGCCAUUAAAAUUAUUGAUUUUGAGGCCCUUCGAUCACUAGGCAAAUGAUAUCGAAAAAUCACAAAAUUUAUUUUCUAGGUACUUCAAAUACUCUAGAUCAACUCUAACAGAGCAGAUCGUCGAUUCGAAAGUCUGAACAUCGAUAUUAACUUCGAAGUACGGAGGGCUCCGUGCUUCCAUAAGCAUAUCAGCCCACUCAUAUAUAUAUAUAUAUAUAGAGUUGAGCUGGAAUGCUGUUGGUAGCAAACCGGCUCCGUUGCCACCCAUUUGUUUUCAAUGAUGGGGCCUUUAAAUUGACGAUCGGCACAAUUGAACAUGAUCUAUACCACUUGAAGUAUCUAGAAACCAAAUUUUAAAUCAUUUCGACAUCAUUGACCUAAUGAUCAAAGGGUUUCAAAGUUUAUAAUUUUAAUGGUAGAUACCAGGCGUUUUCUCGUUUAACGGUGUAAAGCUAUUCAAAUCAAUUGAAUUUUGGUUAGAAAAUUCUUUAAACUAUUUAGAAUAAGAUCUAUACUCUCGAUCUUGAUUACAAAAUUCCUAUCAUUACUUUUUGGAGGAUAUUCAUUUUCAGCCGUUCAUUUUUACGCCUAUUUGAUGGACAAGAGAAUAAUAUCGAAAAAGCAUAAAAUUUGAUUUCUAGAUACUUCAAGUGGUAUAGAUCAUGUUUAACGGUGCCGAUCGUCAAUUUAAAGGCUCCAUCAUCGAAAACAAAUGGGUGGCAACGGAGCUGGUUUGCUACCGAUAGCAUUUCAGCUCAACUCUAUAUAUAUACAUAUAUAUAUAUAUUAACAUAUAUAUAUAUAUAUACAUAUAUAUAUAUAUAUAUACAUAUAUAUAUAUAUAUAUUACAGAUCUAAUUAAUUAAGAGCAAUAAGAUAAUUUAGUUGAGUCAUGAUGUUACAGAAAAUUUUCAUUCUUAUAUAGAUCUAUUAAGAAGAAAAUAUUGUAGCACAAUGAAGAAUCCGACAACUACAGGAUGUCAGUGGAUAUUGAUGUCUGAAAUUUUAUGCAACUCGAAUCCGAAUGAAACAAAUUUAUUCGAUACUAAAAUAAAAAACGAAAACCAGACGGAUUUGGCUUCAAGUAUGAAUUUUGACUGUGCCUGAAACCGAACCUGACCCAAACCCAAAUUGAGUUUAUGUUGUUAAUAUAUAUAUAAAGAAAGUAGGACUUGUGUGCUAUUAAAAGUAUGGAAGCUUCGGUACUCCUAACCUAUUUUCGAUAAUUGAAGUUUUGAAUUGAUGAUUGGCUCUGUUAGACUUGAUUUAGUGUAUUUAAAAUAUUUAGAAUUUUAUGAUUUUUUUAUAUGUUUUACCUAUUGAUCGAAAUGGUUCAAAAAUCAACAAUUUUUAAUAGUUGAUGUGUGCCGUUUAUAUAUAUGUUUAACGGUAUAAAAGUAUUAAAAUCAGAUGAAAUUUUGAUGAAAAAAUUUUUAUACUAUUUAUAAUAAAAUUAAUAUUUCUGAUAAAAAAAUUUUAGUGCUACAUCAUGAAUUUUUAUAGGAUUUUUAUUUUUAGCCGUCAAUUCUUAGUCCUUCUGGUCACUAGGUAAAUAAUAUUAAAAAAUUAGAAAAUUUAUUUUUUAAAUAUUUUAAAUACACUAAAUCAAGUCUAAUAGAGCCGAUCAUCGAUUUGAAAGUGACAUCAUUAAAAAUGGCUUAGAAGCACAAAGGCUUCCUUGCUCCUAAUAGCACACAAGGGCUAUAUAUAUAUAGUGAUCUGGCUACUAUCUUCUUAAGAGGAUAGAAGUCUUUGUCUUAUCAAGUCAUUUUGGAUGAUCGGGACUUCAAAUUGAUAAUCGGCAUCGUUGAAAUGGAUCUACACUAUUAAAAAUAUUUAAAAACCGAAUUUUGUAAUUUUUAAAAAUCAUUAUCAAGUCCAUCAAAGAGUCAAAAAAUAAAUGUUCAAAAACAAAUGACCUUCUAAAAACAAAGGUUAGACUUUAUCAAUUUACGAUCGGAGUUAUUAAACAUUAUCUAAAAUAUAGUAUAAAAAAUUUUCUAUCAAAUAUUCAACCAGUUUGGAUUACUCUAUACCAUUAAACAAGUAAACCGGUUUGGAUUACUCUACAAUGUUAAAUAAGUAAACAGCUCAUAUAAGCCGUCAAAAACUGUCAAUUUUGCAAUCCUUUGAUCACUAUGUAAAUAAAUUUUAAAAUUUAGUUCAUAAAUAAUUCAAAUACUCUAUGUCAACUUCAAUGAUUCCGAUUAUUGAUUUGAGAUCUCUAUUAUCAAAAACGAUUUGAAAGGAUGAAGGUCCCUAUCCUCCUAAAAGGAUAACAGCUGGAUUCUUUCUCUCUCUCUCUCUCUCUCUCUCUCUCUCUCUCUAUAUAUAUAUAUAUAUAUAUAUAUAUAUAUAUAUAUAUAUAUAUAUAUAUAUAUAUAUAUAUAUAUUUGAUGUUAUAUUUGGUUUUGUAUUUUAAAAAAUUUAGAUUUUAUGUAAUAUAUUUUGAAAUAUUAUAAAGAAAAAUAAUUAUUUCCGGUUUGGAUUUUGGGUGUUCGGGUCUGAGAUUUUUAGUCGGGUUUGGAUUUGGAUAUGAAUUUUUUAAUCUGUCAUAUUCAGGUUCGAGUUCGGGUUUCGGGAUUGAUAGUCGAGUUCGGAUUCGGGUUUUUAAAAAUCCCCCACGAAUCUGACCCGUUGAUAUCCCUACACAAGUACUCUCGUUUCCACCUGUCACGGCCUUAGCAUUUUUGUUCGCAAAGCCCGUGCGGCGACCGCCUUCCUGCUCGAAGAUGGGCAAGCCUUCGUCCCUGCUACUAGCCCGGACCUUCGCGUCCUACGACUAAGUAUGCAAAGGGAAUGACAGAGAGAGAGAGGCAGAGGUUCACUCAAAAAAACUAAAUACUCCACUACUUAGAAAAAGAGAUUAGAAUACACAAACACACUCCCUCUUGUGUCCUUUGGCCUUAGCCAAACUCUACUAUUUAUAGACUCCUAGAUACAUUGAAUCUAGCCUACACUAACUCUCUCAUUAAGACACAUUAACUCACCCUCAUAAUGAGCCAUAAGCCCAAGAGUCAUCCUAUUAACUCUUGGUAGUUUUGCAACCUUUGAGCUUCCAUCAUUGAUGGAAGAAUUUACAAAACCCUUCAUCUCCCAACAGCAGGUUGCGUUUGGGUAUCCUUGACAACCCGAUUCAACCCGUUUUCGCUAUUGAAGUUAGGCCAAGGACUUAGAUUGCAUAGCAAUUUCGUUAAGUCCUGACAUUCUCCCCCAUCUACCGGGCAGACGCCCUCGUCGCGCACCAAGCUGCUCCAAUCCGCGUAGCUUUUCGUUCAGUCCGCCGUGCCUCCGCGCCCGAACGGCCCUGAGCCUUACUACUGCAGUCCGCCUUUGCUUCUGCACCAGCUCCCAAUGCCUCGCCCCUCUGAGCGUGAACACUAGCUAGCUCGCUGUGCGAAAAAUCCAUCGAGUGUGCAUGUCCUCCGCGACACAGACGCGCACUCCGCCAAGCUGCAGAACUCACCUUGGUCCCUACAUGCUCCUUGAUAGAAUGGCUUGCUCUUUGCUUGGGCGCUGGCUGCUUCAGCGCCGCAUGAGACUUGACAGUCUCACCGCUGCUCAGGCCCUCCUCCUCGAGGCUCUCAGCCUUCCUGCGCUUCACCUGGUCGUAAAGCUGUAGAGCUGUCAGAGUUGGAUCCUUCGUUGGCGCCGAUACAUCAGAACCAUGCAAGGCACUGACUCGUCCAGGAAGCUCAGCACCCACAAAUGUGGCAUGGGCACCGCCUUCGACGAAACAAGGAAGUCCAUCCCAAGGAUCACCCCGAAAUCGUCGAGUGGCCCAGCUGUAAGAUUAGCCUUGCCCCUCCACGGGCCGAUGGCUAUCUCCACCUCCUUUGCAACUCCUGCGAUUGGUCGUGCUUCAGAGUUGACAGCCUUGAUGCAACUCACAUCCUUCUCGAGCUUGAGGCCUAAUCGCUUGGCCUCCGCCUCUGCAACAAAGUUGUGGGUUGCGCCAGUGUCGACCAGCGCUCGCGUGGCCCUCCCGUUGAGGGUCAUAUCGAUGAACAUAAGCUCCCUCCAGCAGAGCUUCUCAUCGCUUAGCUGUCUACGAACUGCGUUGACGAGCCUUAGCGUGCCCAUCCUUGGCAGCUCGAGCACGUCCUCGCUCUUCUCGGCUUGGACCGCAGCAACCUACUUACCUUUGUGGUUGCCCCUGUUUGGGCAGUCCCGUGCCUAAUGAUUCUCGCUGCAAACAUAGCACGAGAUCAUUGCAGGUGGCGGGGUGGGAUUCUGUCGUUGCCUCCUCGUAUCACAAUUUGGCUUGUGCCCCUUCUCGCCCCCUGGAUCGCGGUGCUCUCCCCCACCUUUGGCCUCGGUCGCCUUUGAUGGUUCACCUCGAUCGCCUUCAAUUCGCUCCCGCUCGGGCAACUUCUCCGCCAAAGCGAUCACGGAGUUUAAGUCCUUCACGUCUCGCGCCACGAGCUCCUUGUUCACCCAUACAUGGCUAAAGGCCAUCUAGAAAGAAGAAUAACUGAUCCUCAUCAGCCAUGUUGGUGAUCGCCAACAUCAGCUUGGAGUAUUCUUGGACAUACUCCUUCAAAGUUCUCGAAUGUUUGAGCCGUCGAAGUUGCCUCCUCGCAAGAUAUUCAACGUGCUCGGGGUAGAACUGCGCCUUGAGCUCGCGCACAGAGUCCUCCCAUGUUUUCAGUUGGCAUUGGCCCUUCUCGACCUCUGCAAAACGUCGACGCCACCACAGUAUCGCGUCGUCAGUGAGGUACAUGGACGCGACCUGAAUUUUUUCCUCCUCGUCGUCCAGCCGCAACGCCUUGAUGUAGCGCUCCAUGUGCCACAGAAAAUUGUCGAUCUCCUUCUCAUCGCGGGUACCCCUGAAAUUUUGAAGCUCAUGAAUACGUACCUUUGAAGCGGACUCUCUUUGGGGUUCAUGUCCACGCGCCACCGUUUUUUCAAGGAUCGCCACUCUCGUCUUGAGGUCCUCGAUCUCGUCGACUCGAGCAACGAGCUCCUCGAUCAGGUUCUUUCGCUCCUCAUCACGAUGAGUCAUGUUGCCCUGAAUCUUCUCGAGUUCGCUUCGAAAGGUCGUCAUGUUAGUAGCAACGCUUUCCUCAAUGCUGCGGACCUCAUCGUUAAAAGAGUUAAAGGAAUCAGCCAUUUCGGUGUACCUAUCACCCAUUUUCGAUAUUAUAUCCUCCAACAGCACCAGGCGGUCCUCCAACAACGCAGAAUCCCUCGUGACUGGCCGAGGGUCUUUGCUCUUGCUCCGCUUGGAGGGCUGCUUUGGAGGGUCACCCCCAACGUCAACAACUCCCGCAUCGGAUGACGACAUGGUUCCUUCUCGAACCGGCUCUGAUACCAACUGUCACGGCCUUAGCGUUUUUGUUCGCAAAGCCUGUGCAGUGCUCACCUUCCUGCUCGAAGAUGGGUAAGCCUUCGUCCCUGUUACUUGCCCUGACCUUCGCGUCCUAUGACUAAGUAUGUAAAGAAAAUGACAAAGAGAGAGAGGCAGAGUGUCACGCCCUGGGACCGGCGGAGGCCCUCCCGGUAGCGUGCCCAGACCCGCCAUAUGUCUACACAUAUAAGGCGUCUACAAGAAAAGCGUAAGUAAAAGCAAGAGAUGGAACAAAUAAAAGAAGUGAAAUAACUAGCAACAAAUGAUAUCAGAGGGAGCAAAGUUCUAACAUCUACACCAAUAGUAGCAGAACGUAACUAAUAUAUAAAAGUAACACAAGCUAUACAGUAUCAGCCUCUAAUACAAAAAUGGUGGUCACUAGUACACUGGUAAAACUCUCAACCUCUCCAAAAUAAAAUACAACGAGAGGUAGACCACCUAGCCAAUCGUCUUCGAAGGAAGCUAGCUCGAAGCAUCUCCCUUCCCGCGGUCCCUGGCCUCACCCUGAGUGGAAGACUCUGAAAAACAUCGAGAAAAAGAGGGCGUGAGAACUAUAAUUUAUAGUUCCCAGUGGGCAAUUACUGACCUCAGCUCCUGCUCCACUAGGCCCCAAAAACAAGGGUAAGUAAUGCUAAAAGCAAUAAGCGAUAAAAAGGAGCAUGUAAAUAAACUGCUGAAAGAGAGAGCAUAAGUAAAAUGCUAUACUACAAUAUCUCACAUAAGCACGAUGUCAAAAUGUUGUACAUCUAUUCUAUCAUAAGGAAAAGUGACCAAUGGCAAUAGUUUACGGUUACCAACCUUUAUUCAUACAUGAUGUAUAAGCUCUAUCAUGGCGGCCAAGUAUACUAUGAUGAAAAAGGUAACUGUCAAGUAUACUACAUGUCUCAACCCUAUACUAUAUGCAUGUAAAUGUAAUCUAACUACUAAACCUAUCUAGUAGUGAUUGUCCAUUCUCAAACCGUGUCGAUUUCCAUUUCCAAUCAGGGACCUACCCAAGGUAGUCCAGCUUGUGGCACCUAAGUGCCUGUGGUAGCCCGACAUUCCUACUCAUGGAAUGUGUCUGUCCCACUCGACCCCGUAGACUUCUCGAUACCGCACGAGCGAACAAAAGUCGUGUAGGCUAACUCCGGAGUGCCGGCUUGUAGGGAGCGACCCUCACAAGCAUGUGCGAAUGAGCACAAAUGGCAAGCAAGCGUAGUCCAAGUCUCAAGUAUCCAAUCCUCAUGUCUCUAACAUGAUAUAGUCACUAGCAUCCCGAAGAUCUAGUUUAAGUCACAAUGUGAAGUUUCAAUAUUUACUACGCCUAGUGCCCCUUGAUGACACUUAGGCAAUUUGAUGUUCAACAUGGAUUCCAAAUCCCUCAAUGGCUCUAUCCGCUAGGUUCACACAUGUCCCGAGCUUAAUGCCGCUUGAUGACAUUAGCUCUUUAGUUCACAUACCUUCUAAAUGGCAAUCUUGUCAUCUUUCACGUCACACGUAAACUCAAGUUUAAAUGCAUGAAUCCGAACUCAUUUGUACUAUAGAAGCAUGAAACCAAAUCUCAUAAAGAAUGCCAAAUGCAACCAAGGAUCUCCCAAGCGACUCUCUACUACAUAGAGGUCCAAAAUUUCACUAUAUAUAACAUAUGCAUUUUAAGCAUUCUAAAAAUCAUAAUAAAUAUAUUUAGUAUGAAGAUACAUGCUUUUUCAAUUUACGGAACAUAUAUAACCAUAUAUGAGAAUUUCUCAUAUGCAGGCUAGGUCGAACCCACCGAACCGUCGCGUAGGGUCUCGAUUCGCCGAACAAAGUUGUCCCCGAGUCUCAAAAUACCCUAAAAGUGAUCAGCAAAGAGAUACGAGGGCAUUACGACCAUCUUAUAAAAUCAAACAUUAACCUAGAAGCAAAAAGGGCCAAAACUAACCUCAAGAGUAGAAAUCCCUUCCAAAGCUCCGAAAAAGAGCUAGAACCCUUCCAAACCAAACCCUAGGAAGGUUCUAAACCAAUCAAUUUAGCCUCAAAAGCCCUAGAUCAAAAAGCCCCAAAAAUCAACCCUAAUACCCAUUCUAGGGUUCCAAAUGGUAAAACCUACCAAAUCAAGGGUUCAAGGGUAGAAUCCAAGUACUAACCUCCCAAGGUGCCUCCAAACAAGCUCCAAAUCUUCUAGGGUUGAAGAUUGGUCCACCACCAAGCUCUACAAGCAAGCUCCAAGCCUUGCAAAGGUGGAAAAGAGAGAAAGGGGUUGAGCUCCAAGCUCCCUCAAGCUAGCUCCUCUUCUUCUUCUUCUCCUCCUUCUUCUUCUUCUCUCUCUAGAAAGUGUAGGGAGAGGGUGAGAAUGAGAGAAAUGGGAGAGGGAAGAGGAGGAAAUGGCUAAUAAGCCCAUCUAGUGUAACAAAAUUCAGAGAAGCCCCUCAAAAAUUCAAUAUUGCAUCAGCCCGGUCUGGGCAGUUUUCGCCCAGAGGGACCGGUCUCUCCCCAGCAGGGACCGGUCUCUCGCUGCGAACCCGAAAAACCAGCGUUCGGGAACCGGUCUCUCCCUGCGCGGGACCGGUCUCUCACUGCGAAGACGCGCUCGGGGACCGGUCUCGCCUGGCAGGGACCGGUUGCCUCAGGCUGCCUCGACACUGCUCACUGGGGGACCGGUCUCUCCUUUUAGGGACCGGUCCCCGAGAGUAAAACUCUCAGGACUUGUCCAGAAUUCCGAUUUUCGAACUUUUUAGGUCGGAAAAUAUUUUACAACCCUCCACCAAGUGUGGAAAAGCUCAAAAUACAUCCAAACACUCGAACCUCGCAAUUUGCAAAGGUCCAGUGUGUUACACAGAGGUUCACUCAAAAAAACUAUGUACUCUACUACUUAGAAAAAGAGAUUACAAUACACAAACACACUCCCUCUUGUGUCCUUUGGCCUUAGCCAAACUCUACAUUUAUAGGCUCAUAGAUACAUUGAAUCUAGCCUACACUAACUCUCUCAUUAAGACACACAUUAACUCACACUCAUAAUGAGCCAUCAGCCCAAGAGUCACCCUAUUAACUCUUGGUACUUUUGUAACCUUUAAGCUUCCAUCAUUGAUGGGAGAAGUUACAAAACCCUUAAUCUCCCCACAGCGGGUUGUGUUUGGGUUUCCUUGACAACCCGAUUCAACCCAUUUUCGCUAUCGAAGUUGGGCCAAGGACUUAGAUUGCAUAGUAAUUUCGUUAAGUCCCUGACACACCGCUCUAAUCUAUGCGUUACUUUGCCACCCUAUUGCUCAAAAAAUUAUAUUUAAUUAUUCUAUAGUUUUAUCUGUAUUUUUAUCUAAAAAAUUUAAUAUCAAAUAGUUUCGCAAAAUGAAAUAUUUUGAUAGCUACAGAAUAGCUAAAUGUAAUUUUUUCAAUUACAAAAUGACAAAACAAAACUGAGCUAAACUACAAGAUAGUUCAAUACAACUUUUUGAACUCCAAGGUGGUGAAGUUAAAAAUGAACUAAUUAAACUACAGGAGAUAAGAUCAAAGUUUACCCAAAGGAAAAAAAUCCAAUAUAUGUUCUGCGUGUCUUAAUUAUUUUGUUGCUCUAUAAGAAAGAUUAGCAAAUGGAGGCCGAGUUUUGAAUUUCUUUUCUUUUUAUAAUAAGUUAAUUAAUUGGGUAAGUAAGCUCUCCCCAUUGGUGCCAAGGCCUAAUAGUAGUGUGCGAGGCCUAAUAGUAGUGGUUGGAUUUUUUUUUUGUUUUUUGAGAAAUAGGUAGCACGCUACCCGCUUCAUUUAUUGAAAAGAUGAACUAAACUACAGGGGUGAGGCAACAUAGGCCUCGGAAGGGUCGGAAAAAAAAAAAAAAAAACACACACACACACACACACACACACACACACACACACACACACACACACACACACACACACAAAGUAUUCGUAGUGGUUGGAAUUUUGGUUUCGAUUGGGCAUCAAAAUAAGUUAUCUAACAAUAACUUAUUCAAAAUGAAAUUUUUUUAUAUAAUUUAAAUAAUAAGUUUAAUUUUUUUAUCUUCUAAAGUCUUAGCAUUCAUGAUUUAAGUAGAGCAAAUAUAGUUAGUGGUAUCUAUCCAUCACAAUCAAUUCUUAUUAUCCAACGACAGAUUCUUUCAAAAACUAUCCUUUAAUUGUAUGUUAUCUCCAAGUGUAUAGAGUCAAUAUGAAGCACCCUAAAUCACAUGAAUUUUUAAUUUAUAGAUUAAUCAAUCAAACCCACUAGCCCCAUUAAUCUUUGAAACUCUAAAGGUUACUAAGUUGAUCUUUCCCCCGACCAACAAAAACUUACUCUAAUAAAAAAGGUGUCAUUGUUUGGUAACUUAACAUAGCUUUUUGAGUAAUUGUUUGUUUCACUUAUUUUCAAACCAGAAUGUCAUAGACUUCGAAUUUCUUGCCCACCAGCCCCUAUUUUGCUAUCACCGAAACUCCAAAGGGGCAAAGUUUUGAAGAUUUAGUCGAACCCUUCUAAAAGCUACUGUGGAAACUCAAGACUACGGAUGUGGAAGCCAAAAAAUCAUAGACUACCUUCAUAUUUCUAUAAGCAAUAAUAAAUGUAGUAGGGAUUUGCAGCUUUCCCUUUUUGCUUGUCGUCGCGCCACCUAGAGCCUUUCUAUUUAUAUCCCCGAGUGGCGAGAGGCUUAUAAAUGGCAGAGAGCCUCGAGCCAACCUUAGCCAAGAACAUUGUUCUCCUAUUUAGAUCCUCAAGUAAUACAACUUCAAUUCCCUCUAGAAUCUUCUCUCUCUCUCUCUCUCUCUCUCUCUUGCAACUUAACUUUAGGGAAAAUAGGUCUACGCUUGCAAGUAGAGGUAGGCUUGCUCAUUCCAUAAAGAAAGCGAGUGCUGCUUCGACCUUUUGCUAGAAAAAAACACAAGUCCUUAAAAGUUUGUAUCAGAACGGGUUUGAGAGGGGAAUCAUGUCAUCAUCCAAAGCCAUUAUCAUCAACUAUGUGCCCGAACCGAAGUAAGCCUAAGCGUAGGAAAAGCUAAGGAGUCGCGGGCACUCGCGAAGGAGACUAUAUCCUUGGAGGACAGUGUGGGACUGUUGGACAAUACUGUGAUGAGAGUAGAGGAGUGGUGUUUUGUUCUAACACAAACCAUAGGGCUGAUGGAUGAUGAGCUUCAUGCAAUAGAGGACAGUGAUGCUGUUGCCUAGGCAAGCUUUCUCCCCUAUCUUGAGUAAUUUCGGAGGAGAUUACACGUCACGACGAUAAAUAUGGGGUGUUGGUUCAAAACCAUACCAACAAGCUCGAAAAAGGUCUAGAAUCUCAAAAAGUGAGUGGCGAUCCUCGAGCGGGUGGUUGCCCGUGGUGAGGAUGCAUAAAAAGUGUACAUCCCAUGAGUCCAUGUCCCCCGAGCCAAGUGCUUCAAGGGUGUGCGAGAUGAAACGGAGAUAGACAACUUUCUAUGGCACAUAUAGUGCUAUUUCAAUGUACUAUUGUUGGACGACGAGGAGAAAGUCCAGACCAUAUCCAUGUACCUUGCAGACGAUGCUUUGUUGUGGUGGUAUCAACGGUCAGCGGAGGCUUAGCAGGGUCGCUACCAACUUUGACACAUGGGAGGACUUCGUGUGCUAGCUUAAUGUGCAGUUCUACUCGAAGUAUGUCGAGUGUAUUGUAUGGAGGCAACUUCGGAGGCUCAAGCACACUACAACAUUGAAAAAGUAUGUAAAGAAGUACGCCAAGAUGAUGUUGGCCAUUACUAGCAUAGAUAACGAGGAUUGAUUAUUUUUCUUCCUUCAUGGGCUCCAACGAUGGGUGAAUAAGGAGCUCAUGGGGUGCAACAUGAAGGACUAGAGCUUCUCUAUAGCCUCGAUGGAGAAGUUAUUCGAGUACAAGAAAGCUAACCACAAUCGUGGCAAGCCUUCCAAAAUAAGUAAAGCCAAAGGUAGAGGAAACCAUUACGACCCAAAAAAAAAAAAUUAAAGGCCAAGAAAAAAGGCUUGUGCCAUACGGAAGAAAGUAUUGAUGUGCUAUGUACGCCCAGAUGAAUAUUAGGCGAGGGAUUGCCCGAAAAGGAAGAAGCUAAAUGUCAUCCAAAUAGAAAAGGGGGAGGAUGUGUUCAAGCUUGUCAACAUAUCCAAGGCUAGCAAAUAAUAGUAAGCCCCUAAAGAAGUAGUUGUUGUACAGCAAUGUGACCCUCAAUAAAAAGGCCACGAGGAUGAUGAUCGACACCGGGGUAAGGCAAAGGUCAAGUGAUUAAGUCUCCAGCUGGAAAAAGACAUGAGUCAUAUAAAGGUUGUUAACUCUCAAUCACAGCCUAUCUCUAUGGUUGCCAAAGAAAGUUAGCAAUUAGUUGGACCGUGAAAGAGGAUAGUAAACUUCGAUGCUACUCCUAUCGAUGAUUUCAAGUUUAUCCUCAGCAUAAAGUUUCCAUCUUCAUCAAAAGUGGUCUUGACGUCGCACUUUGGGGCACUAAGCACAAUAGAGAAAGAAGCCCUAUGCAAAGUUUUGGCUAGCUAGGAUGAGACGGCGAUGAUCCAGGCCCUCUCUGAAUUAAAAGUUGAAAAAGAGUAAAAUAUAAGGAGAUCACCUACCUUAUGGUAAUUCGAGAAGUGGACAAGUAGGGCCUCUAGGAAGAAAGUCUUCCAAUGGAAUUUGAAAUACUACUAAAGGAGUUUUAAGAUGUCAUGCCCCAGGAGGUGCCUAAACAACUUUCACUUAGGUAGGAGGUCGAUCACUCCAUCAAGCUUAAGACAAGGACCAAGCCAAUAGUGAGGGCACCCUAUCGGAUGGCAUCACCAAGGAUCAAGAAGUAGAAGAAGAAAUUGAGGAGCUUCUUUAUAUAAGCUUCGAAUUCAUUCGACAGUCCAAGGUACCAUUCAGCGCAUUAAUGCUGUUUCAAAAGAAAAGUGAUGGAAGCCUGCAACUCUAUAUUGAUUAUAGAGCACUCAACAAGGUGAUUAUAAAGAAUUAGCAUCCUAUCCUACUAGUAGUAGACCUUUUCCACCAACUCGAGUGGAGCUAAGUACUUCAUCAAGCUCAAUCUCUGCUCGAAAUACUACCGAGUGCGAAUUGCCAAAGAUGAUGAGGAGAAGACCACGUGCGUGAUGAUGUACAGGUCCUAUGAAUUCCUCGUCAUGCCUUUUGGCUUAACGAAUACGCCAUCAAAUUUUGCACACUCAUAAACAAGUUGUUCCACCUCUAACUCGAUUCAAUUCAUAUUGAUAGACCAUGAUGGCAUUGUCAUGUACAACAACAUCCUGGAGGAACAUAUCGAACACCUACGAACCAUCUUUUAAGUGUUGCAAAAGAACCAACUAUUUGUUAAGAAAGAAAAGUAUAUAUUCACAAAGAAGAGAUGCACUUCCUUAGCCACUUGAUAGGCUAGGGCCAACUUUGUUGGUAGGUAGGUCAACAUCCUACCAACAUAGCGAAGGCUGAGUUGGGUCAAAUCACAAUCGAGAAGUCUAGGCACUAUGUAUGUAUGCUUUAAGUAAAUUAAUUGUCUCAUUUCUAAUAGCUUGAGUUUUUUAAAUAGAUGUUAAUGCCAAUGAAUCCACAAGUGGUAUCAGAGCAUAUCAAAAAAUCAAUUCCUGCAUAUGCAAUUUGUGUAGGUUCUUGUAGAGUAGAGGGAAGGAUUGUUCGUAGAUAGGCUAGUAUCCUACCAAUAUAGUGAAAGCUAGGGAGGAUUGUUGGUGGGUAGGCCAGUAUCCUACCUAUAUAGCAGAAGCUAGGUUGGAUCAAGUCAUAAUCGAGACUCAUGGGCAUUGAGUUUAUAUACUUUAAGCAAAUUGAUUACCUCUUUUUUUAACAACUCGAGCUUUCGGACUAAGCAAUUAGUGCAAGCAAUCCACAAACUUCGUAAGGAUCAUAAGAAGGUGCAAGUGAAUUGAGAUAGGAGAUGCCAAUGACGGUGACAGAGCUACGGUCCUUACUUGGACUCAUCGACUACCACUGUCAUUUCACUGUGGGCUACUUCACAAGGGUAACCCCGCUAAUGGACUUGCUAAAAAAGAACCAGCUCUAAGUAUGGUCCCCUCGACGCAAGGAGGCAUUGGAGGUGUAACACCCCCAAAUUUGACUAUAAAGGUUUUAAAACGUUUUAAAAUUUUAUUUUAGAGGGGUGAUGGCCAAUUUCAUAUGAUUUGAACUCAAAUUGAGUCAAAACGAAUUAUUUGAGGACGAAAAUGUCAAAACUGUUGACUCGAAUCUGCUAUUGCACAACUAGCCGCUUUGGGAAAGCUUUUGACUAAGUUAUCGAUAUCUGAUUAAGGCAAAAUUAUUUUAAGAUUUUUAUCUAUUUUGAAAGAGUUAUGGGCUCCAAAAAUUAAGACUUUUGUUUUAAUUCGAUAAUAGAGCAUAACAGUUGAAGUGAUGGACUUGAAUAAGCCUAAAUCAUUUAAGAUUAAAAUAAAAAUAAAAGAUUAAUGGAGAUACUCAUUAUCUAUAUGUUCGGUACUUCGGACAUGAUAAAAAUAAAAUAUUAAUGGAGAUACUCAUUAUUUGUAUGUUAGGUACUUCGGACACGCACGCCGGAACUCCUUCGGCCGAACCUUCCAUGUCUUAGAUCGGUCUUUUCUUAUUUUGAGGUGGAAUCCUUAUCUAAAGAUGAUGAACCUUAUUGGUCCUCUUAGUAUCAUAUAUAUAUAUAUAUAUGUAUACAUAUACAUGUAUAUGUAUACAUAUACAUGUAUAUGUAUAUAUAUAUACACAUGUGUAUAUAUAUAUAUANUUACAUUUUGGAAUCAACAAAUAACUAAGAUUAUACUAUCUUCCAAUACAAAUGCAUACCCUCUACUAGUACAAUGUGAUAAUAAGAGACAUGUUAGAGUAUAAGAUCAAAUUCCAUUGCAUCGUAAACUAAAGAAUAAACAACGAGUGCACAAGUUCUUAGAAUAAUAAUUAAGCAUGCAAUAAGAAUUAUAAACAUUCGGUUGCAAUAUAUAUAUAUGUAUAUAUAUAUAUAUACAUGUGUAUAUAUAUAUAUAUAUAUAUAUAUAUAUAUAUACACAUGUAUAUAUAUAUAUAUACAUAUAUAUAUAUUGCAACCGAAUGUUUAUAAUUCUUAUUGCAUGCUUAAUUAUUAUUCUAAGAACUUGUGCACUCGUUGUUUAUUCUUUAGUUUACGAUGCAAUGGAAUUUGAUCUUAUACUCUAACAUGUCUCUUAUUAUCACAUUGUACUAGUAGAGGGUAUGCAUUUGUAUUGGAAGAUAGUAUAAUCUUAGUUAUUUGUUGAUUCCAAAAUGUAACAGUAUUAUUGACACAUUGGCCCUAUUUGGAUUCGCUGCUAUGCUUAUGGCGUUCCCCGGGCCAUCUUGGAUGGCUCUUUGUGAUGUGGGAGUUUGAGUGUGAGAAGGCGCGAGUGGGUUACCGGUGGUGGUCGCUCCCCACUCGGUAAGCCUUUGCUCUCUGGGUUGAAAUUUGCUUUAUAUCCAAAACCAGGGUAUCGCUCUUACGCAUUUACUCGAUUAUAGGUCGAGUUGGAUUUUUGUUGGACCUUUCUAGUUGAUUAUGCUUAUCCUAUGAUACCACCAUUUACUUGUUGAGUAUAGAUGCAAUUGUUGAUCAUACUGGUAGAUUCAUAUGUAUGUCUAAUAACUAUUCAUAUUACAUUGCUUAUCUUUCCAUUGAUACAUACUAUUAGAUCCAAUGGGUUUUGUUGUCUCUUGACGAGCUUCCACUGGGAACUAUUGUUAAUAGGUCUCAUUAUGUGGAUAUUACUAAUUUUUCAGGUAUGGCCUUUGAGAUGAGAUCGGGCGAGGCGACGACUAUAGUUAGAUAGUAGCAUGCUAGAUCAUUUCUAUUUUUGUAUUAUAUGCAUCUUAUCUUUUAUUUUGGACUAUCCUUUUGGAUAUGUCUUAGGCCAUACUGGAAUUAUGAAUUGUACAAACUUGCUACUUGUUAACUUGAGGGCAUAACCUAUUUGGAAGUUUUAUUUGUGUUUAAUAUAGAAUGGUAUUAUGGUAACCAAUUUAUAUUAGUAAAUUUGGAAUGUUUGAAAUUGUGAAUUAUUUGUAAAAAUUUAUAAUGUUAUAAGGAUGUUGAUAUUAACACCGGACAUACUUAAGCUUUCAAUCUUAAGUUAUGUGGCGGGUCUGCAGCUGUUACACCUCCGUGGUAGCUCCACUAUCGGGCGCUACACGAGGACCUCAAGCAUGUAGUGACAGAUGUCUAGUUUUGCAAUUGCCAGAUUGCGAUCGGUCGUUCGAGACACAUAUCAAUGCCUCAAACUUUUCCAUUGGUACUGUCUUUUUGUAGAAUGGGCACCACAUGACCUACAAGAGUCGCAAACUUAAUGAAAUUGAAUGAUAGGACACAGUUCAAGAGAAAGCGAUGAAUCUUGUGGUGCAUUGCCUAAGAACAUAGCAGCACUAGCUCCUUACGGCCAACUUCAUGGUGAAAAUGAUCAAUGUUGCUAUGAGAUAUUUCUAAACAUAAAAGGAGUUGUCAUUUAAGCAGGCGAGAUGGCAAGAAUUCCUAAUGGAUUUUGACAAGGAAUUCUAGUACAAACCUAGGAAGGAGAACUCUGUAGCUGAUGUCUUAAGCCACAAAACAGAAUUAGCUAUGGUGUGCCAACUCCAAGGGACAAUCAGAAAGCAAAUGCAUAAAGGGACUUGCAAGGAGCCUACGACACGACUCAUAAAGAAAAGCAAGACAACCAUUCUAUCUUAGUAACAAGUUAUUCCUUACCGAAGGACAAUGGUGUAUGUACCCAAAUAGGGCAACCUAUGUCAAGAACUUAUGAAGAAGUGCCAUGAUGCCAAAUGGUUGGACUAUGUUGGGCAGAAAUGGCAUUGGUGGUACUUUGAGGCUGCGUAUUACUGGCCCGAAAUGCAUGACGAUAUGUAGGCCUACGUAUGGACUUGCCUAGUUUGCCAAUAGGACAAGGUUUAAGCCUUUAACUUGAAGUGUCCCGACCCACUGGCAACAAAACUCGUUGGAUCUAAAUCACUGACCCAAAAUGUUUAAACCCAUUUAUCAGUGUUGGAGUCUCUAAUCUUUAUAUUUUAAUUAUAAUUUAUUUUUCAUCAAAUGUAAGAUUAUUGAGACAUCACAGACUCCCCUUUUUAAACCAUGAUGUCCUCGUCAAGUCACAUUCCUACCCCAAGAUUACUAGGAGAUGUGAGACCCAUCUCACACUCCCAAUUAGUGAACUAGCUCGGAUACUAAAUAUAACGAUCCGACCCACUAACAAUAAUAGCUUGUUGGGCCCAAAUCACCAGACCAAAAUGCUUCAACCUAGUUAUUUGUACUAGAGUCUCUAGUCCUUUCCAAUCAUUAUUCCUUUCAUGUCCGAUGUUGUACUAUUAAGGCACCAACACAAUGUCCUUGAUCUUUGUCUUACACCAACCUGUCUAUGAGAAUGCCUUUCCAUGUACUUCAUCUUUGCAUUUCCAAAUGUAGGAAAAUUAAGGUCUAUCCUUAUGGUAGCGGAUUAUUUAUCUAGAUAUGGUACCUUGAUCUCGAUACAAGUGGACUGCACGGCGGGUGAAGUGGCAUGGUUCUUUUUCAACCAUGUAGUCAAGUUAUGGAUGAUCACGAAAAAUAUUAUGAGCAGCCGCAACCUUAGGUUCACUGGCAAAUUCUGGACAAAGGUGUUCCAAAUCUUAUGGUUAAAGUUGCUCCUCUCCACUAGCUUCCACCCACGGACGGACGAACAAUCUGAGCAAGUGAAUACUUAGUUGAGAGAGUACCUCCAACACUACGUGAGUGCAAACUAUAAGCAUCGAGUGUACCAUCUCAUUGUGGCUCAGUUUUCUUGCAAUUUGUGAGACGAUGAGUUGUCAAACCACAGCCCACUCAAGCAAGUGGCAGCAAGACAACUGCUCAUACCACAUAUAGCCUGCGAUUCUCCAAUUUGCCAUGAACUUGUAAGAGAAAUGAGACAUUGCAAGAGCCUACCUAGAGAAAGCAACCCAAAGGAUGAAAUAGUAGGCUAAUGAAAAGCAACGGCCCCUAGAGUUCACUAAGAGUAACCAAGUCUUGGUCAAGCUGUAGCCCCAACAGUUCAAAGCUUUGCACAAGGCAUACCGGGGGUUAUUGCUCAAGUUCGAGGGCCCAUUCACUAUCACCAAACGAGUAGGCAAGGUGGCUUACAAGCUGCAAUUGCGUUUUAACUUGCAGAUUCAUCUAGUCUUGCAUGUUAGCUGCUUGAGGCCAUACCAUUAGGAUGUGGAAAAUCCGAACGGCGACGUGCCCAACGCAUUCCAAGCACCAGACCACGUCUUUUGACAAGGCACCGGCACUAUAUGAAGUCGUAUACUUCUAUCAAGCAUAAAGUACCUAGUGAGUGGAAUGAUCUUUUGCACGGUAAGGCUAGCUGGGAGAAAAAGGACGAGGACGCCCGCACAUUAGGUAGGAGAGGUUGUCUUGGAACUUAGAAUUUUCUUACCUACCUAUCCUAUUUUGCAAUCAAUUAAACUCCAAAAAGGGACAAUUUUUGGAGGUUUAGCUGAAUCCUUCCAAAAACUACUCUGAAAGCUCGAAACUAUAGGUGGAAAGCCGAAGAGUGAUAGGUCACCUUACAUUUUCUAGAAGCUAUAAAUAUAGUAAUUAGAAGUUGUGGCCUCCCCUUUUGGCUUCUACCUUUGCGCCACUUUGUGCCUUUUUAUUUUUUGUCUGCCACCACGAAUGACGCACCUCGCAGGGUCGAUGGAUUUUGGCCGUAGGGUAGUAUUCAUGAUUCAGAUUAGUAUUUAUACGUAUAUGGGUAUCAGGUAUUGCAGGUCCAUGGCUUCCAAUAGAUGCAAGCAUCUAUUGUUAAUUACUCGCUGUAGAUUGGGGUACCUUCGAUUAAGAGACCUUCAUGGAGAGGGUGGGAUGAAUCUUAUCUUGAUUUAUUGAAUCCUAAGUAUAUGUAUUAGGAUUCAGUUGGAUUUGAAAUUGACUAGGUCCUAAGUAUAUGUGUUAAGAUCUAGUCGAUAUUAAACUCUAUGUAUUAGAGUCUAAUUGGCUCUAAGUAUAUGCCUUAGAGUUCGAUUAUAUUCACUUUGGUCGUAUAUUCCAAGGUGGAGAUGUGUCCAUACCCCAAAUAUAUGUAUUGAGAUAGGUCGGAUUUGAUAUUAUCCGAAAGUAGGGAGUGGCUAAUUUAUGAGUGUAAGUAUCAGGAUUAACCGAGUUUAAUAUAUUUUUCACUCUACUUAUAUGUUCUAAAGUAAGGAUCUGACUAAGCCCUAAGGUAUUGCGUUAAGGUUCGUCGGAUUUGAUUUGCAUGAGCUCUUAGUAUAUGUAUUAGGGCUCAAUUUGGUAUGGAUUUUACUCUAGGUAGAUAUGCUAGAGCAAAAGGUUGACUAGACCCAAAGUGUAUGUGUUAGGACCAGUCAAGCUUAGUUUGACUUCGACUCUAGAUAUAUGUGCUAGAGCAAAAGGUUGACUAGACCCUAAAGGAUAUGUAUAAAGGGUUAGUCAGAUGAACUCUAAGUAUAUGUGUUAGAGUUCGAAUAAAUUUGAUAUCAUUUGACUGAAUUCUAAGUACAUAAUUUAGAACUCUGUCGAUUUGGAGAUGAUUUUGCCUUAGUUAUAUUUGCUAAGACGAUUGACUUAGCCCUAAGUAUAUGUAUUAGGGGUAGUCGAUAUUUAAUUUUCACUCUAGGUAUAUGAGCUAGAGUAAAAAAAAGGUUCAUGAUGAACUUUGGGCAUGAAAUUUGGGUAUUGGUUCAUAAGAUUUGGAUAUUUGUUCAUGAGAUUUGGGUAUAUAGGAUUUGAACAUGAUUCAGUUCAUGAGGUUAAGAUAUAGUUCAUGUGGUUCAUAAGAUUUGGAUAUAGUUUGGUACAUGGCUCAUAGGAUUUGGUAUAUGGUUCAUGAGGUUUGGUAUAUGGCUCAUAAGGUUUGGCGUAUGAGAUUUGGUUCAUGGGAUGUGGUGUAUAGUUCAUGAGGUUUCUGUCUCAUAAGGUUUGCUGUAUGAUUCAUGAUAUUUAGUUCAUGAACUCGGGUAUGGUUUAUGGGAUUGGGUUCAUGAACUUGGUGUAUGGUUCAUGGGGUUUGGGGUUUGGUUUAUGGUUCAUAAACUUGGUGUAUUGUUCAUGAGGUUUGGUUAUGGUUCAUGAACUUGGUGUAUGGUUGUAUGGUUCAUGAGAUUUGAGUCUUGGAUUUGUUUCAUGAACUUGGAUAUGGUUCAUGGGUUUAGUAUAUGAACUUGGUUUAUGGACUUGGUUCAUGAUUCAUGGACUUGGUUCAUGAUUCAUGAACUUGGUUUAUUUGGUUCAUGAACUUGGUUUACGGUUCAUGAGAUUUGGUUCGUGAACUUGGGUAUGGUUUACGGGUUCAUGAACUUGGUGUAUGAUUGUAUGGUUCAUGAGAUUUGGUUCGUGAACUUAGAUAUAGUUUAUGGCAUUUGAUAUGGUUCAUGGGAUUUGGUUCAUGAACUUAGAUAUAGUUUAUGGCAUUUGGUUCAUGGUUCAUGAGAUUUGGUUCAUGAACUUGGUGUAUGGUUUAUGGGUUCAUGGUGUAUGGUUCAUGAACUUGGACAUGGUUCAUGGGAUAUAGUGUAUGGUUCAUGAAUUUGGUUCAUGAACUUGGAUAUGGUUCGUGGUGUUUGGUUCACGAACUUGGUUCAUGGUUUAUGGGACUUGGGUAUGGUUCGUGGUGUUUAGUUCACGAACUUGAUUCAUGGCUUAUGGGACUUAGGUAUGGUUUACGGUGUUUGGUUCACGAACUUGGGUAAGCUUCAUGAACUUGGUUCAUGGUUUAUGGGAUUUAGUUCAUGAACUUGGGUAUGGUUCGUGGUGUUUGGUUCACGAACUUGAUUCAUUGUUAGUGGUGUUUGGUUCACGAACUUGGUUCAUAGUUUAUAGGGUUUGGUUCACGAACUUGGGUAUGGUUCGUGGUGUUUGGUUCACGAACUUGGUUUAUGGUUCAUGGGAUUUGGUUUAUGAACUUGGGUAUGGUUCGUGGUGUUUGGUUCACGAACUUGGAUAUGGUUCAUGGAUUUGGUAUAUGAACUUGGUUUAUGGACUUGGUUCAUGGUUCAUGAACUUGAUUCAUUUGGUUCAUGAACUUGGUUUAUGGACUUGGUUCAUGGCUCAUGAACUUUGAGGUUUUGUUCAUGGUCUAUGGGAUUUGGUUUAUGAGAUUUGGUUUACGGUUCAUGAAAUUUGGUUCAUGAACUUGGGUUUUUGAUAUAUGACCUUGGGUAUAAGAUUUGAUUCAUGAUUCAAGGAAUUUGGGUUCAUGAGUCCAAGUUGGAUUCUUGAUUUCGGUUUUAGGUUUGGGUUUUUUACGUGGACUUGGUUUGGAUUGAGUUUGGAUUUUAUUUGUGGACUUGACAUGGGUUUUGGGUUUGAGUUCUAUUUGUAGACUGAUUUGGAUUUGGAUUUGGGUUUUAUUUGUGGACCGAUUUGGUUUUGGAUUUGAAUUUGGGUUUUAUUUGUGGACUAAUUUGGUUUGAAUUUGGAUUUGGGUUUGGCUUCUAUUUGUGGACUGAUUUGGAUUUGGAUUUCUUAUUUGUGGAUUGAUUUGAUUUUGGAUUUGGAUUUUGAGCUUGAUUUGGAUUUUGGGUUUGGGCUUUUAUGUGAACUUCGUUUUCUUUUCAAUUCUAUUUCGGGUUCGAGGAAAUUCGAUUUGGGGUCCGAAGAAAUCCUCUUUUGAUUUUGCAAUUCGAUUUGAGGUCCGAAAAAAUCCCCUUUUGAUUUUGCAAUUCGAUUUGGGAUCCGAAGAAAUCCCCUUUUGAUUUUGCAAUUCGAUUUGGGGUACGUAGAAAUUCUCUUUUGAUUUUACAAUUCAAUUUGGGGUCUGAAGAAAUCCCCUUUUGAUUUUGCAAUUUGAUUUGGGGUCCGAAGAAAUUCCCGCUUGAUUUCAAUUUGGGGUCCGAAGAAAUUCCCGUUUGGUUCUAAUUUGAUUUGAGAUCCGAAAAAAUCCCCGUCUUGGCUUUGCAAUUGGAUUUGAGGUCCGAAGAAAUUCCCGUUUGAUUUCGAUUUGGGGUCCUAAGAAAUUCCCGUUUUGGUUCUGAUUUGGUUUGGGGUCCGAAGAAAUCCCCGUUUGAUUUCGAUUUGGGGUCCGAAGAAAUUCUCGUUUUGAUUUCGAUUUGGGGUCCGAAGAAAUUCCCGUUUUGGUUCUGAUUUGGUUUGGGGUCCGAAGAAAUCCCCGUUUGAUUUCGAUUUGAGGUUCGAAGAAAUCCCCGUUUUGAUCUUGAUUUGAUUUAGGGUCCGAAAAAAUUCCCAUUUGAUUUUGGUUUGGAUUGAAUCUGAGCCGGUUUGGGAGUUUGGUGGAUUGAUUCAAUGUUCUCGAAAGGGAUUGAAGGGUCCGAAGAAACGGGAAAUCUUUGAUUCCCCUCCCACCUUCUUUCGAAAAUACCGAACCGACGAUGUUGGAGAUGACGGCGGUGAAGAUGAUAUCGGUGGCGCGGAUCUGUUCGGCCGGUGAAUUUGGUUCGAUCUUUUCAAAAGAGAUUGAAGGAUCCGAAGAAACGAAAAAUCUUUGAUUCCCCUCCCCUCUUCUUUCGAAAAUACUGAACCGGCGAUGCUGGAGAUAACGACGGUGAAGAUGAUGUCGGUGGCUGGGAUUUGUAAGCCGGCAGAUUGAUUUGACAUUUUCGAAUGAUGUUGAAGGGUCCGAAGAAACAGAGAAUCUUUGAUUCCCCUCCCCUCUUCUUUCGAAAGUAUAACACCAUCGGUGCUAGGGGUGGUCGCGCAAUGUAGAUCACCCAUUCCAUCAAUCAACGGCUUCAAAUGGGGUAGUGAGAGGUCAGAAGAAACGGGAAGCCAUUGGCUCCCUCCACUUUCCUAUCGAAGUCGUCUAAACGGUAUGGAUGACUACGGUAGCAGGACCUAAAAAAAAAAAAAAGAGGGGGAGAAAAGAUAUCUUUUUUUUUUUUUCUUUACCUAUUGAUAAGAUGACGGAUCGGAUGAAGCAGCUUGGCGAUCUUUCCUCUUUUUUGCGGCUCGGCGAUCUCUCCUCCUUUCCGCGGCUCGGCGAUCUCUCCUCCUUUGAUUUUUUUUUUUUAUAUGUCGGAACGUGUGUAGCAAUUUAUCUAUUUUUUUCUCUUCUCCAUCUAUCUUCCGAUGUUUGAUUUCGAUUCUCAUAUUUAUAAUAGGAGGGGUGGCGAGAGAUUUAAAAAUUCGAAAUUUGAAAUCGAAUUUUGAAUCGGUUGUUGUGGUUGGUUGGAAGAUAUUUUGGGGUUGGUUGGGAAUUCGAAAUUCGAAAUCGAAUUUUGAAUCGUUUGUUGUAGUUGGUUGGAAGAUAAUUCGGGGGUUGGUUGGGGAUUCAAAAUUUGAAAUCGAAUUUUGAAUCAGUUGUUGGAUGGUUGGAGGAUAUUUUGAGGAUUGGUUGGGUAUUCGAAAUUCGAAAUUGAAUUUUGAAUCAGUUGUUGGAUGGUUGGAGGAUAUUUUGGGAAUUGAUUUGGGAUUCGAAAUUCAAAAUUGAAUUUUGAAUCGGUUGUUGGAUAUUUUUGAAGUUGGUUGGGGAUUCAAAAUUCGAAAUUGAAUUUUGAAUUGGUUGUUGGAUAGUUGGAAGAUAUUUUUGGAGUUGGUUCGGGAUUCAAAAUUUGAAAUCGAAUUUUGAAUGGGUUGUUGGAUGGAUAGGUAUUCAAAUUUCGAAUUGGUUAAGAGAUAUUUUGGGAGUUGGUUAGAGAUUUGAAAUUCGAAAUUGAAUUUUGAAUAGGUUGUAGGAUGGAUAGGUAUUGAAAAUUCGAACGGAUGUCGGUUGAGAGAUAUUUUGGGAGUUGGUUGGAGAUUCGAAAUUCGAAAUUGAAUUUCAAAUCGGUUGUGGGAUAGCAGAUAUUUUCUAGUUGGUUGGGGGUUUAAAAAUUUAAAAUUGAAUUUGAAUAUGAUAUUCGAAAUUGAAUUUUCAAACGUGGGUGAAAAUGUGGACCGUGAUCCCAUGAAUUGGGUUGAAAUUGGGCCCCACUUUGAUGAAACUUAUUGAGCACAAAUAUUCAUUGGGCUGAGAUAAGGCCCGUAUUAUUGUAUAGGCCUAAAAUUUUAAAGGGCUUUCAUGAGGCCCAUUAAUUCACAUUUAUGAAUGGGCCUAUUAUGAAUUUAAAUUAUUGGCCCUAAGAUUUUCUGAUCAACAUGAGACCUAUCAAAAUUGUUUGAGUCUGAAUCUAAUCGGUUUCGAUUAUGAUUAGGAGUUUUUUCUUUUUUUUCACUUCAAACAUUUGUAUCCUGUGGUGGCAAAAGGCCUAUAAAUAGUAGUGAGCCUUAGCCAACUUCAGCCAAAAAUAUUGUACUCUAUUUCUAAAUUAAUACAAUUCCAUUCCAAGCACCACAUGGGCUUUUUGCAUUCAAAAAGUUUAAGACUGACAAGAACCUAACGCUCUAAAAGCGAACUCAUAUAAGACUUCAUUACAAUUGAAACUUUUUGUUUUGAAUUCUAUAUGGUUUAUAAACUCAUUAAAUCAAUAUCUCCCUUUUCUUAGAACAUAUAUUAGGUUAUGACAUUAUAACUUGUUCAUCGAAGAUUAGAAAGUUAGGUGAUAUAUAUAGUAAUUGAGCUCCUAUACUUUUAAAAGUAUUAUUUCAUUUGUGCUUGCAGAUUUUCGGCCCUUGGAUUAAGAGAUGUGCAGGAUGAUAGUGAUCCCCUAGGGUUGAGUGAAUGGUUGGUUGAAUAGUAUGAUCUAACGAGUAGAAAUAAUCAAAGAAAUAGAUCUAACGAUAGAAAACUUACAAGCACCAAGUGCUUUGUGCUUUUAAAAGCACCAUAACCAAACUCGUAUAUAUAGUACCCAUUUGUAAAUUUGGUAUGAUUAAUUUGUCUAUAAAACAUGCAAUAUAGCUACUGCAUAGACUUGAAAUAUCAAUAAAUUUUACUUUUUUUGUUUUUUUUCUUGCUUUGCAAUAUUUGCAAUUUACAAUUAAAUAUGCAAUGGAUUAUAUAAGUUUGGAAAUGGUUGUGUUUAAUAUGGUAACUGCAUUGCUAUAAUUUUACUAUGAAAUUAAUUAAAAAAUAAGAAAAAUACCAUUACUAAUUAAGGAGUUUUCAAUUUAGAUUUGACUUAUUGAGAAAAUAAUAGUUAGAGUUGAAAAUUUCAAAUUCGAGUAUGUGGAGAGCAUGAUAACCAAUAUGUUUACUUUAUUUAUUUAUAUCUAUGAGUUGCAAAAGUCAAUUCAUAGAAAACUUAGUAAUAUUGCAACAAACAUUAAGCACUGAAUCCAUUAAGAGAGAGAAAGAGAGAGUGAGAAACUUUAAGUUGGGCAUGUUUGAUUGACCAAAAAUGAAGCACCAAAAGUAUUAGUUUCGAUGUUUUAUCGAUUGUUUAGUUUGUGAAAGGAAUAUAAAAGUCACUUUAUAAAAAUGGUUGUAAAAGUGAGUAUUCACUAAUUUCACUUUUUGAACUUUGGCCAAAAAAUUUCAAAGUAGCCAAAAUGAAGAGCUUAUCUAAAAGAUUAUAUUUGCUCUCAAACUUUAAAUUUUGAAUUUAUUUUUAGUGUUGAAUUUCAACUUAAAUAUGAAUUGAAAUCAUCAAUUUUGUCACAUUUAGAAUUUUAUUUGUCGUUUCAAAUUCAACACAAAAUUUUAUAAAUUCAAAUUUGCAAAUUUAGUAUUAAACUUAAAACUUAAGUGUAAAUUUAUAUUUAAAUUUAAAUUCUAGUAUUAAAUUCUAAAUUAAAAUUAAAAUUAAAAUUUAAAUAUUUAAAUUUAAAAUUUAAAUAAAUUAUUUUUAGCCCUGAACUUCAAUUCGAACUUUGAAUUCAAAUUGUUUUGGACUAUAUAUUCAAAUUAUCUUUUGAAACUUGAAUUCCAAAUUUAAAUUUUUAAGUUGAAAUUUAAUUUUAGAAUUUAAUCUCACUUAUGAGUUAUAACUUAAAUUUUAAAUUCAAAUUACAAAUUUAUUUGAUAUUUCUUAAAUUUUAAUUAUUAAUUUAACUCAGAUUUAAGUUUGGAUUUUGAAUAUGCUUAAAUUUAAAUUACAAGCAUAAGUCGCUUGUUUAUAUCUUUACUUUUUUAUUUAUAAUGAAAUAAUCAAACAAUCGAAACCACAAAACUAUAAUUUUCUAUUUGUUAUCUUGUAGCAAACCAAACAAUAGAAUCAAAAGUUACUUUUGUAAAAUUCACUUUUAUAAAAAAAAAAACUUACUUUGAUUAUUUUCAAACAACCAAACAUGUCCAAGUUGUAGUGCAUUUUUAAAAGUACAAAGCCAUACAUUCUUCUACUUUGAUUUGGUGAUAGGACAUCAAAUAAAGUUGUUGAACAUAUAUAAUAUACACUAAACCCUUUUCUCUGAUAUUAUUUACCUAAUGAUUAGAGUGCAAAAUAGGAUAUGCAACUUUUCUAAGUUUUAACAUAAAAAGAAGCAUAUGCUAAUAUUGGGCGGAUAAAUACUUUUGCUCAUAUGAGCGUACCAAAUGUUAAUUAAGAUGUCUCUGGCACGGAUACGGAUACGGGGAUACGGAUACGACACGAUACGGACACGGCGAUACGGCAUUGUCCCAAAACUCUAGGAUACGAUACGCCGGGAGUACUUAAAUAAAAUAUUAUUUUAAUAUGUAUAAUAAAUUACAUUGAUAAUAUGUAUAAUAAAUUUACAUUGAUAAUAUAUCAUGACGUAUUGAAAUAUAAAAAAUAAACAAAUGAGUAAAAAUAAAACAAAUAUAGUAUUUCUAUUCAAUCAUUCACUUACUAGUUACCACAAAACAUCAUGAUAUUCAUCAUUACAUCUUACGACUUACAUACAAGCAUAGUCCACAUCCAAAACAACAAAAAGAAAAGGAGAGGGUUUUCAUCAAAAGACUUCAAUUUGGUUCAGUUUCAUUCUCACUUGAAUCUUCAAUAAAUACCACACUCUCCAAAUCUGGCUCAUCAAGUGAAAGAUUUGCAAUUUCAAGAAGACCAACACUAUCAAAUGUGUCGAAAGAAUCUCCUCCAACAUCCCAAAUCUUGGUCUCUCCUUUUAUAUAUUCUGGAGCCCUCCUUGAUAAAAGGCGAAGAUUAGUAUGUACAUAUACUAAAUCUUCGGCUCGUUGUGGCGUAAUCUUAUUCCUCUUCAUGGAGUGAAUGAAUGAGUAGGUACUCCAAUUCCGCUCGCAACAUGAAGAGGAGCAAGAUUGGCCAAGUAACUUUAGGGCCAAAUUUUGGAGCAUAGAUGCUGCCGCACCAUGGAUGACCCCACCACUUCUUUGGGUCAAGAACUCCCCUAUCUCCAAUAGAGUCGUGCUCAUCAAAUCCCUCUCCGACAGUGAAAAAAUUUGCAAACUCCUCAUUUACAACUCUUCUUUCUUCAUUAUUUGGAAAAAAUCUUUUUAAGCACUUGUUUCUCAUCUUUGAUAUCUCCAAAUCCCUAUGCGGAGGAACUCGAUUUGGAUCCUCAUUAAGCCACGAUGAGCUAUAGUAUCUAAUGAAUAUAAGAAAAAUAAAAAUUAGGAUAUGAUAGUUGUAUUACAAAAUACAAAUGAACAAAAGUAUACAUAAGGUUUAGGGGAAAAAAAUUACCUAGGGUUCAAAGAAUGUGCCAAGCAAUGAAGUGGAGUAUUGCUUUUAGCCCAUCGGUCAAUCAAAAUUUUGUGCACAACGGAAUAAAAUGAUGAUUCCUCGUCUUCUUUCUUUCCUUCACGCCUAUAUAUAGCAACUUUCACCUUUUCUAUCAUGGAGUCCCAAGUUUCAUACAUUAAAUGUAAGCAAGGCUUGUCGGUAUCGGCAAUCCGAAGCAUCUCAUAUAUAGGUUCGGUAAAAGAAAGAAUAUAGUUAAUUUGAUCCCACCACAAGUCAUUGAGAAUUCUAUCUUUUACAAAUUGUGCUUUCCCCACAUCAUCCUCCUUAUAGCUAGCCCAUUUGUCACUAACGACCAUAUUUUGGAGACCCCGUUUGAUUUGCUUGAAUCUUCUUAGCAUGACAAUUACCGAAGCGAAUCGAGUCUCGGCCACCGCAAGCAUUUUCAAGUUGACAAACUCAUUAAAUAUUGCCAACCUCAUGGAAUGAUUCAAGAUAAAAUUCUUGAUGCAUGCUACAUCCUCCGCUAUGAUAGUAAUCCAACUACAUUCAUCAAAAGUAAUUUCAUUGGCAUCGGUAUUCUUAGCCGCACAAAUAUUUUUUAAUGUAAGGUUCAAUGUGUGCACAACACAAGGAGUCCAAAAUAUUGAAGGAAAUUGCGCUUCAAUCAACAUUCACGCCGCUUUGCACACGGAAGCAUUAUCCGUUAUCACUUGAACCACAUUUUGGGGUCCAACCUCUUCAACAACUUUUGAAAUCAUGCUAGCAAUAAAAUAUUUAUCCUUAUAUUCCCCUUCGCAAUUAACCACUUUUAGGAACAUCGGUCCACUCUCUGUUACGGCCAAAAAGUUGAUCAACGGCCUUCUUUGUGCAUCGGUCCAUCCAUCACAUACAAUGCUUAAACCCUUCUCCCUCCAAGUGCUUUUUAUAGGCUCCAAUAACCUCUCAAUAUUUGUUCUUUCUUGUUAAAGAAGACUAGUUCUCAACAUAUUAUAAUUGAGAGGUAUAUAACCUGAAAUAUUAUGACUAGCCGCAAAAGUAUAGGAGCUAACAUAAUAAGGAUUUCUUGCAAGAUUAAAGGGCAAACCACUGGAAUAAAAUAUUCUAGCAAUCUCACAAUGUAGCUGGUUUCGAGCCGCCACGUUGAAAGACUUCUCUAGAGCUGUUUCACGAGUUGAUGUUUCCCUUAUUUUUCUUGGCUCGAAAGAUUGCACCCCCAUACUCUCUAUACUUGUGUUAGAAGAUUUGGUAAUAGUUUUUGGCAAAGGAACUUGUUUAGGUAUAGAAUUCUUUAACCUUAAUUCUAUCUUUUCAACAAGUCUUUUCAUCUCCGCAAUAUUAUCACUAGUAACCUUAGAGCAACUUUUGAUUCCUUGUUCUGAAAUUCUCAACAAAUGGGCUUUGACCCUAUAAUACGAUCCGUUAUAAACUUGUUUGCAAAAAUUGCAUUCGAACCUCAUGUUUCCUCCACUAUCCCCUAACUUUUUCACCUUUUUUACAUACUUCCAUAAUGGAGUAUUAUCAUUAAUACUACUUGAACUACCACUAGCACUACCUGCUGUACCGCUACCGCUACCAUCGGUAGAAACUUGACUCUCACUAUUCAUUUUCUAUAAUCCUAUGCAUGUCAAGAUAAAUAAAUACAUGUAAUUAAUAUAACAUUAUUGAUAACAAGUUAACAACAUAAAGCACAAACAGCGAAAUACAAUUUCAAUAUAAAAAAAUAUAAUGCAAUUACAUAUGUGAUGUGAGAUCCUCUUUAAGAUUCAUUCCUAAAAUAACUAAUCAUUCCUAAAAUAAAAGAUUUAUUCCUAAAGAUUCGUUCCUAAAAUACAAUGCAAUUAAACAUUCAUUCCUAAAAUAACUAAUCACUAAUUAGUAUUCAAUAAUCAUGCACUCAUCUUUUGCCUAUUAAAUAGUAUAGCUAUAUAAGAUUCUAGACUUCUAGUAUGUGAAAUAUAAAUCUUUAAGAUUUUAUCAAAGAAAAAUAUACUAACAUUUAAAAAGAUAGAGGAAAAAAAAAUACUUUAUGUUAUUUUGUAUAAUCUUUGUAGAUUAGUAAGUAGUAACAUAAUUGGCCAAUUAAAAAAAAGAAAAGCAAAAGUUAAACCCUAAUAAACACCUAAGCUCAUGGUAUUUAAAAGAAAAUUAGAGAUUUAAAAGCCCAAUAGGGUUAAAUAUAGAAGAGAGAGAGAGAGAGAGAGAGUUGAAACUUGAAAGGUUGUGAAGUUGAACAGGGGAGGGAGCGGAGGGAGGAGGGAGCGGAGGAGGGAGAGGAAGAUGCUACCGCUCGCUGCGAAGAAGACCACCGCUGCUCGCUGCGAGAAAGACCACCGCUCCGCUCUCGCUCUCUCGGUAUUUCUCCGCUCUUUCUCUCUCUCUCGGUAUUUCUCUUUCCUCUCGCAACAAAAGAGAAAGCGGAAUAGGGCUUUAUUUGCUUCUUAGGCUGUGUUUGGAAUGGGUACAAGAGGGGGGGAUAAGGGGGUUAUCCCCCCUCUUCUACCCAAACAAUAUUUUCGGUAGGUGGGAACACUUGUUCCCACUGAACACUUAUUCCCAGCUGCCCGGUUCAACCGGGUAUAGGGUGGGAACAAGUGUUCCCACCCAGGGGUGGAACAAGUGGGUGGGAACACUUGUUCCCACCCCCCGGUACAAGAGAUAUAUAUAUAUAUAUAUAUAUGAUAUAAUAUAUAUAUAAAUAUAUAAUAUUUAUAUAUAUAUAUAUAAUAUAUUUAUUUUAAAUUUAAAUUUCUAAAAUUUAGAAUUUAUAAUUUUAAAAAUUAAAUUUAUAAUUUUAAAUAUAAAAUUUUAAAGUUUAAAUUUUAAAUUUGAUAUUUUAAAUUUUAAAUUUUAAAUGUGAUAUUUUAGUUUUAAAAUUUUAAAUUGAUAUUUUAUAUCUUUCAAAUUUAAAUUUGGUCUUAAAUUUAAAAUUAGAUAUUUAAAAUUAUAAUUUUGAAAAUUAAAAUUUUAAAUUUAAUUUCAAAUUUAAAAUGUAAAAGUUAAAAUUUUCAAUUUAAAAUUUUCAGUUUAAAAUUUUAAAUUCAAUUAUAGGGGUAAUAUCAUUAUUUUCUAUUUAUAACUACCAACUAUUCCACCUUAUACUCACAUUUUCAUCCAAACACAAUUUUUCUAGUUCCAGCUUAUACUCGCAUUUUCAUCCAAACAAAAAAAUACCCUUCUUCCUAUGAAAACCCAUACUUGUACCUAUCCCCAGUAUAACUAGUUCUUACUUAUACCCGAACCAAAUGAAGCCUUAGGGUUUUGGAUGCGAGUAUUUUUAAAACUUUUUAAAUCCGACCCGUUUAGACCCAAUAAUAUGUCUCACGUAUCCCGCCCGUAUCCCGAAACGUGUCCAUCCGUAUCCCAAAACGUGUCCUGCCGUAUCCCAACGAAUCCGACCCGUAUCCGAUUUUUUUAAAUUUUUUAAAAAUUCCAGAUACUUCAAUCCCGUAUCCGAUACGUAUCAGGCGCGUAUCGGGCGCGUAUCCGUAUCUGAUACGUAUCGAAUAUGGGUACGGGUUAUGUUUUGGAGUAUCUGUGCAUCAUAGCUCUGGACGAAUCAACAAGUUAACUUUUUUUUUUUUAGAGAUAGGUAACACGCUACCCACUUCGUUUAUUUCAUUUAGAAAUAAACUUAGCUAGAAAUGUGAAUCAACGAGAAUUCAAACUUGGGAUCUCAGAUACCAACCAUCAAACCUUUUGUCACUUGCUCUAGGGACGGUCGGUGCUAAUCAUCGAACUGUGAUGACGGAUUGCUCUUUAAUCAUCUAGCAUGGAAGUGUGAUGACAAGGCUUCACUAGGUCAACAAGAAAAGGUCUGAGCCAUCUAUAAUCUAUUGAGAUGAACUAAAAAUUUAAGGACCAAAGGGAAUCUUGGUGGAGAUCAUCCACAAGUAACUUGGAUUCCUUCUUUGUAUCUUAGUGCAUUUUUUUAAAAGAAAAAAAGUAACACUUAAAUCAUAGCACUUUAUCCUCCCACAAUAUGCAUGCUUCUACAACAAAGCCAUUCUACAGAUUUGUUGCAUCGGAAGUUAUGUGAUCCUCAAUCAAUAUGAAUGUGUAUUAAUUAUUCUAUUAGGAUUACUGAUUACAGGAUGUUAGGUAAACUAAUUGAAUAAGAGACUAUAGAGAGAGAGAGUCCAACUGGAAGGCUUAUCUUAACUCUCAUAAUUUUGUCCACGUGGCAAGCUUAUCUUAACUAUUGUUGUAGGAUCCAUCUCCUUUAUUACUCAUCUCCUUCUUUUAAACUUGGCCUCUUUUAAACAUCUGUGUCAUUUUUCCUUCCGUCUCUUCGGUAGAAAAAAACUUUCAAAAGCUUUGUGGUUUCCCAUUCCAUCUUUUCAGUUUUCAUGCUUUUCUUUUAGAGCAAUGCUCCUAUACACCAAAAAGAUCUCGGCCUUUAAAUUUUUUAAAAUGAAUGGUAGAGAUGUCAUUUAGUUAAGAGGGUGACUGGCUUUUGUUGCCAUAGGUACCAGUCACCUUCCUACCAAGGGUAAAUUAUUUUCUCAUAUGUAAAAUUAGUAUGAAAGACUUUUUUUGUAAAUUUCUAUUUUCAUUCUCAUAUUGCUCUUCUAGUAAUUUCGUAAGAUAUCCCAUUUUAUUCUUAGAAACUUUUCACCCACAGAUAUUUUCCUCGAAGCUAUUUUACCCUUUUUUCUUUGUUGAGAGAGAAAUCCAUGUCCAAUCUACAUUUAAAUCUAAAUUUAAAAUUUAAUUUUAAUCAAUAUUUUUAAACUUUAAUGUUGUUUUUACUAUCGAAUGAACAAUUUGAAUUUAAUUUUAAAAAUAGAAGUCUUUAAUUUAAAUAAAUAAUAAAAAUUACGUUUAUAAAUACAACAUAAUUUACAAUUAAAAUAAGUUAAUAUAUUUGAAAUUUCGUGUCGUUUUAAUAUCAAAUUUACAAUUUGAAUUGAAAUAUACUAUUCAUUUAAACAUAAAUUUUUUCGUUCUAAAAAUUUAAAUUAAAAUUAAAUUUGAAUUUAAUGUACACAAUUAUAAAGUUUAAAUAAAGGUUUAUUACUUAUCAAAUUAGCACUUGAAUUUAAUUUUAAAAAUAGAAGCCUUUAAUUUAAAUAAAUAAUAAAAAUUAUGUUUAUAAAUACAACAUAAUUUACAAUUUAAAAUAAGUUAAUAUAUUUGAAAUUUCGUGUCGUUUUAAUAUCAAAUUAACAAUUUGAAUUGAAAUAUACUAUUCAUUUAAACAUAAAAUUUUUUCGUUUUACAAAUUAAAAUUAAAAUUAAAUUUGAAUUUAAUGUACACAAUUAUAAGGUUUAAAUAAAUGUUUAUUACUUAUCAAAUUAGCACUUUCUAAUUUGGUAAGUAACAAAAUUAAAUAAGAAAACAAAUAUUUGUAUAGGGUUAAUCAAAUUUGGUAAUUAGCUUGUAUUUGUUUUUCCAUAUUACCCUUACGAAUGAUUACCUGUUGAGCAGGUAACUAUUAUGCAAAAGUCAAUCUCGCCCCUCAAAUAUGAACGGCUAGAUUUAAUUUAACCGGUGUAUUGAAGCAUUCCUCUUUUUUUUUUUAAGCUCAUCAAAAUCUAAUUUGAAAUUUCACUUCUCUUUUACCUUAACCCCUUAUACGUUCUCUCUCCCUUCCCUCACCCCACAUCUCUUGGCAUGGUGGUGGCGCAACCGAGAUUGAGACGGGGAACACGACACGGAGCAGAAUUGUUUCCCCUUUUCAGCCUCUUCUCUCCUCAAUCUCUUGCGAGAUCAUGAAGGAUCGAUCAAAGGAAAAAAAGCGAUCAAAAUCAAAUAUAUUGAGAGGUAUGAAGAUCGAUCCCUACUUGAGCUCGAUUUCAUCGAUCGAUCGUUGUUGAUCCCCAAUUUUGAUAGCGCGAUUAUGUACGGAUCCGAUAAAUCUUAAUUCGAGGCAUGUUACUCUACAGAGAUUUAUCCACUGCAUCUGCAUCGCGCCAGUCCCUACACUAGUGAUGAAUUAAUCGACGAGAAGAGUAGACGCCAAGUGUGCAGCAAAUGGCAAUUGCAACCUCUAGAAAAGAAAAUAGGGGACAAUUAAUCAAUUCCUAGUGCACAGUUUCAAAAUCUCGUACCUAAAACAUCGUAUUAAUUAAUUGGGUAACUAGAAUUAGCUGUUAAAAACGACAAAUGAGUUUUCGUUGACUCAUUUAGCUCUUUGAGGCCUAAUUGCCGGGUAAUAGAAACGCUUGAAGAACGAUCUCACAAAGACUUUUAAAUGCCACAAAUAGAAGGUGAGAAGCACCAUGACAUGAUCCCUAGAAACAGAUGAAAUAUAUGUUGUUAAAAGGAAUAUCUAUCGGUCCUUUUGGCUAACAUGGUAUUGAAGUUGAUUUCAAAUUCCCUUUAGAUGAUCAGUUAGUUCUGCAAUACAGCAGGUUGGCUCAGCAUACUCUUGCCUUGUAAGUUACCACUGUCUGCACCUAAAAAUGAUAAAGGAGAAAAGGUCUUCCCACCUGCUAAACAGCUUGGCUCAGCUAAAGAAAUAGUGUGAACAGAAAUAGAAAAGAUAAUGAGACAUAUGAAAGAUUCCUAUUACAAAAGAAAAGUAGGGCAGAUACCACAUUCUCCCAUGUUGUCAAAGCAUUUUAGUACACUAAUAAGCAUCAAUUCCAUAUUUACAGUAUGAUAUUUGUUCCCAAAAGACAAUGAAAGGAAGAAAAGGAAAAAUCCCCAACACCUAACCUUCUUCCCAAAGAGAGUCCGGCUCAGAUGAAAGACGCACUGACAAAUUAGACUUAGCAGCUCAAUAUGAGUCUAUCUAAUGAUCACUUCAUUUCUGCUGUGACUCGAAAUCUGUUCCAUCGAUCACGCCACAAGUUUUUUCCUUUUUUUUUUUUAAAUUUGUUAAUUAGCGCGCGCUCUUCACCGGAACCGGAAACAAUCACCAAGAGAAAGCACCCAUCAUACAAUUCUAAGACACAAUUUCCCCAAUUCCCCCUCUGUUUCCUUUCCUUCUAUUUGUGUGUAUCAAUCAUUCUGUUCAUUCUGCAGCAUUUCACCUUCCUCCUUGUUUCAGCUUUCUCUCCCUAGCUAUCUAUCUAUCUAUAUAUAUAUAUAUACACACACACACAUAUAGAUAUAGAUAUAGAUAUAGAUACACAACCCAAUUGGAUCGAAGAUACACCAGGUAUGAAAUUUCUAUGAUCUGAUUAGCCCCAAAUUGAACAAGUUUCUCAUCACAAAGUUCCCGAGGUGGAAGAGCCCAAUGCCGCCCCCGCCGCCGUUGGCCUCCUCGCGAUCGCCGGAGGCCUUUCGGUGGUAGUGCGGUCGCGGCUCUUCCUUGACAUAGAGCCGGUCCUCCCCGAUCUUCCUCCGGACGGCUUCGAUGACCUUGAGAUCCGCCGGUUGGCCCGCCGCAUCGGUCACGUAGAACACAUUGGAGGCCAUCUCCCCUUUCGUCGACACCUCCGCCCUCGCGACCAGUAGCCCAUUCUCUCUGAACGUUCUUGUGACCUCCAUGAGGAGCCCCGGCCUGUCGACGGCGCAGAGCUCUAGUCUCACCCCCUGCCAUAAGCACAUAACCAAAUUAAAAAUAUUUUAUACAUAUAUAUAUAUAUAUAUAUAUAUAUAUAUAUAUUAAAGAUGAUGAUGAUGAUCAUAUAACUUAAAAAAUUUGGGGUCAUCUUUCGUUUCUACCUGGGAGGACCGGCGCUCUAUGGCUGCCCGCAGGCAUUGGAUCACUCGCUGCCUCUCAGCCUCCGACCUGAUGGGGGUACCGUCGGCGUGGCGAAUGUAGAAUUCCUGUACAACACAGCAAAGCAUAAUUAAUUAAUAUGAAGGAAUAUAUAUAUAUAUAUGAUCUAAAAAUGAAUAACAAUCAAUCGCGUGCGUUAGAGGGAAAAAUAAAAUCGAGGGGGAAAUUAAAUAACCUGAUGGGCCUGAUCGCGGUGGGUGUGGAUGGUGCCGUGGAAGACGACGUACUCCAUGUCGGUGAGGGUGCAGAGGACGUCGAAGAGCAGCUUGGGGCGGUCGCGGCACUGCACGGUGACGACGGAGUACCCGCGCUCGGCCCAGUCCUGGACGACGACGACGACGACGGAUUGCGGGGGAGACUCCGCCGCACCACCCGCGUUCUCGUAGUCUCGGUCGGCGAGCAUCAGCUGGUGGAGGCGGCGAUCGACGUGGGCGGGGGCGGAGGGGGAGGGGGAGGCGGCGGCGACGGUGCCGCGGCGGUCGCCCUUGAUGAGGUGGCGGAGGCGGGACUCGAUGCGGCGGAUGCGGAGGUCGUCCGCGAUGGGGCAGCCGGACACGGAGUCGUUGACGAAGACGACGCACGCGAUCCGGCCGUUGUGCGUCCACGCCUUGCCCUCCGCCACGCCGCACUGCAGCUCCGCCAGCACCGCGAACACCUCCGACAGCAGCCCCGGCCGGUCCGUCCCCGUCAGCUCCAGCGCCGUCAGCCCCUCCGACUCCGUCGCCCGCUCCGGCCCGUAUUUCCACGUCCCCAAAGACUGCACAAAUUUUCCGACCGAUCGACAUAUAUGCAUUCGUCGUUAGCUGCUGCAUGCUAGCUAGAAGAUCAAACUAUACAUACAUAUAUAUAUAUAUAAUAUUAAUUAGUUCGAAAACGAAUAUGUAUAUAUAUGUAUAUAUAUACCUGCUGGAUGUAGGAGAUGACGCUCUCGUCGGCGAGCUUGCGGCCGAACUGGUCGGUGACGUGGAAGACGUCCAUGAACCAGCGGCCGUCGGAGGAGACGUAGGCCUUCUUGAUGGAGAGGUCGAGGUCGGUGAGCAGCUGCACGGCCUCCAGCAGGACCCCGCGCUUCCGCGCGCUGUCCACCUGCACCACCGUCGCCGUCGGGCACACCGCAUUGUCGAUGACCACCCUACAAUUAAUCAUUUUUUUUCAAUCAAUUAUUCAGCACACGAACAGAGAGACCAGAACAAACAAAACAAACUGACUGUGUUAAUUGCGCAACAACACAACAGAAACCCACCCACCUAGGAGUGUUCAUUCGGAUAACGAGCUUCUCAUACUCGUCCAGAUAUGUUGGCCACUCCAUUUUAAUGCUGCUACUACUGCUAUACUUAUACCUGGUCUCACCUCCCCUCCCUCGCAGAGAAGAGAGGAGAGGAGAAGAGAAAGAGAAGAGAAAAACACCUCUCUUCCUCCUCUGCUCCGCUCCGCUCCGCACCAAUUAUACUACUCGAUCUUUAACUCCAAAUUUAUCCGCAAAUAUAUAUAUAUAUAUACGACCCAACAAAUUAAUUAAGAAGACGACGAGAUCGAGCAACGAAGCGAAGUAGCUCCAAAACGAAUAGGCGACAAGAAGCCCGAUGGAAAUGAAGAUACUCUCCCUCGUCUCUCUCUCUGAUCUCCCCCCUCUUCGGCUUCUCCUUUUGUCGCUCUCUUCGACCGAAUCGCCUCUGAACGAUACUUUUUUCUUUUAGCUUGGUUAAGCCCCCGGUGUCUCGGCGGUGAUAUUUAAAGCUCCGAGGCGAGGCCGACCGGCACAUGGGCGUGGGCCCGACACGGCUCGACCGAACACCCGACAGCUCACGCCUCGCCCCACGCCGCCCCCAGAUGGCCGCCACGUCGGCCACCCUCUCUCUCUUGCCUUGCCCUUUACGUGACAACUAGUUUUGUACGCCCCCCCUAGUUGUGAGGAAUUCUACACUAUCGUACUUGCACCACGUCAUUAAUAACAAGUCAAUCAUCUUUCUUUUUUUUAAAUAAAAAUAUAAUAAAAAUAUUUUUUUAUAAUCAUGAUGGGACAUAUAUUUUUAAAAAAAAAUUUUAAUUGGUUUGCUACGCCACGUCAUUAAUAUACCCGUUGCAUUCUAGAAUUUUUCCCUAAUCAUAACUUGUAAGUUGUAACGCCACUACUACAUACGCAUCUUUUCGUAUAAAAAUACGUAUGUUUGACUGUUAAUCGCAUGUUUCGAAUAGCAUAUAUAUUCUUUUAUAUUUAUUUUUAUAAAAUUUUAAUAUUUUUAAAUAUAUUUUUACUAUUAGAAUCUAUUAAAAAAAUAUAUUUAAUCAUAGAUAAAAUAGUUAAUCCUAAUUAGCAAAUAAGAUAAUUGAAUUGGCCUGUUUAUAUACUCUUGUUAUAUUAUUUGCAGAAACGAAGAUUUCUAUAUAAUUCUAACAAUUAAAAUUUUUGGAUGGAGAUAUUAAUUUGUAACGGUAAAAAAUGUCAUUUUACUUACGUACUUUCUAUUAAAAAAUAAAUAAUACUUUAACAAUAACAAAUUAGAAGGGCAACUAUGAAUAUUGUUGGACUUUUGUAAGAAAAAAAUAUGAAAUGUUGGGCUUUGUACGAAUAUAUUUGUUAUUUUUAUGUAGUCCUAUGUUUGAUUUUUCAUUUCUUAAAAGUUCUUAACAUUUUAAUUUAAUAAAAAAUGUAUUUUAUUUAUAAAAUAAUUUAUCUUAUUUCAACAAUAUAAUUUCCAGGCCGGGGAAUAUUAGAUAUUUAGUCACAUUUCUUAUCUAACAUAUACUACAUAUGCUUCUUCAAUUAAAUGAAGGAAUAUACGGAAUUAAAUCCUCAUGCAUUCCAACAGCGCUCAAAUUAUUUGUUUGAGUGCGUUGUAGCCCAUGAACAUAUGUACGAAAUUACAAAUAUAUGCAUAUAUAAAUUGAAUUUUUCUAAAAUUUUAUUCUAUGAAUUGUGAAUAUAUUGACAAACUGAUCAUGCAGAAUUGUUGAAAUUAGUGUAUCGAUCCACUCAUUGAAGUGUUUUAUAGUAUGAAUGCCAACAUACCAAUCACAUAAAAACAACAUAUAUUGCAAAAGAUUUACAUCAGUACUCUCAUAAAUAUAUAUAUAUAUAUAAAGAAUUGAGAUCCUAUGUUUUUAAAAAUACCAAAUUAUUUUACUUAAAAAUUUUUUGCCUUUAAAUUAAGAGAUGUGCGAUUAGAAUGAUAGCGAUCCUCUAAAAUUGAGUGGGUGGUUGGUUGAAUAGUAUGAUCUAAUAAGUGAAAAUAAUCAAAAUGCUUGAUCUAAUGGCGAAAAAUUUAUAAGUGCCAAGUACUUUGUACUUUUAUAAGCACCAUACUUUAUAUAAAAACCUUAUUAAUUUAAGACAUUUAUAGUUUUGUCCCUCGAAUAAUGCUUAGUGCGGUGCACAAUUUGCAUGAAUGCACGCGGCGCAUGCAACAACAUCUCAACCUUUACUGGUUGGCUUUGCUUCCGACGUAAGAGAGUGCCGGGUGCUUGUUUUGUGUGUGUCUGCAAAUAAUAAUAAUAAUAAUAAUAAUAAUAAUAAUAAAGGAUAAAUUUCAAUAUCACCCUUCUGUUUCAUGCUUUUUUAUUUUAGUACACUAUAGUUUAAACUGUAUUAUUUUAGUAUUCUGUAAUUUUUUAUUUUUUUCUCUCAGCAUCUCCGUUAACUCUCCAUUAAAUUAUAUAUAAAAAAAUUCAGAUACGCACUUCAUCUACAGUUUAUUUAAUAUUCAUUUCAAUAUCCUAUAAUUUACUGAAUUUUUACUUUAUUAUCAUGUGAUUUUAACUUUAUUACUAAUUUAACAAAAAAUUUAAUGGAGAAGAUAAUAGAAAGAAAAAAUGAAACCACAGAGUACUAAAGUGACACAAAUUUUAAACCACGGAGCACUAAAUUGAGAAAGCGCGAAACCACAUGGGUAAUAUUGAAGUUAUUUUCUAAUAAUAAUAAUAAUAGUAAUAAUAAUAAUAAUAAUAUCCAGCGCGAGACACAAAAAUAGGAUGAUGUAGGUGUAAACCUGGUUCGAUGUGGGUCCGGUCUGGUCGGGCCCGGUCCGGCUCGGUUGAGCCGGUUCGGGGUUCGUGUCUCGAACCGGCGAGGUGGGCCCCGUCGGCUUCCCCGCCCUUUUCUGUCGUCGUUACGGUCGUUGCCACUUCAUUGUACGAUCCACUACAUUAGAAUUACCAUUUUACCCUUCCGAGCCAAUGACACCAUUAUUUUUCAAUUUAUUAUUACAUGAGUUAAAUUAGGCAGGAGGAUCCAAACCUUCUUUUAAAAAAAUUUCUCACUUGAAUUUCCAUAAUUUGGAUUUUUUUUUUUGGGUUACUAUUUGUAUUUCAAUUAAGUUUUUACCAAUUAUAAGCAGCGUAAAACUAGAUUAAAGUUGUCGUGUGAUUUGAUUUGAGUGUUAACGUAUCGAUAUUAUUUAAUAUUGAUGUAACAAUGUUUACUAUAAUCAACAGAAAUUAUGACGGUAGAGAUUUGUUUGAAACAGAUAACAGAGUUUAGAAAUCAAAUUAUAAAAAUUUAAAAAUUGAAGACUAAAAUAACAUAUCGCAUAACAAUUUGAAGCUAUAUAAUGGUUCAAUUUAACGGCUCUCUUUUUUACAUUUAUAAUGGCAACAAUCCUACUAUCUUUUUUUAAAAAAAAUUAAAUUGCGGUCUUACUCUUUAUUAUUUAUUUUCAUCAAGUUCAUAAUGCUAAAUAUCACAUUAAUUCUAAUAAAAAUUGGCGCCUCGUUUGCUUCAGGAAUAAGUUGUUUUUGCUUAUUCCUGAUAUAAAUAUAAUAUUUAGCAGCAUAAGCAAGAACUAUGCCAUCUUUGUAUUUGGAUAAGAAUUGAGCUAUUUAUAGAAAUAAGAAAAAAUAUGGUAUGAACUGCUAGAUUGGAAUAAUAGGAAUAAGAGUCGUUAGAGAUUUAAAAAAUAUAUUUUAACUAGUUAAUUUAUAUCAAAAUAUCAAUUAGAUAAUAAUUUAAUAAAUUAAUUACUCAAUUAACUAUAAAAUAAUUAAUUAUUGAAGUAACAAUUGAAUAAGCCAACUAAUUAAAUUAUAAAUGAUAAUUUAAUCAAGCAGAUUAAUUAGCUAAGGGUGGAACAAUCCACUUCCACCCCUAGCUAGCUGUUUCCACCUCUCAAAGGUUAUUCUUAAAAAAAAAAAAAAAAAUCCAUUUUAUUCUCUUUGGUUUCAAUUUUUUUUUUUUUUUGAAGGCUCUAAACAUUGUCUAAAUAAAAGUUUUAUCUAAUUUUGAAAAAGCUAAGAGUAAUAAAACCAAUAAAAAAGCUAGGGACUUAAUUGUAAAAGUGGCAGGUUUUUUGUGUAAGGGUAAAACAGUCAUUUGGCUUUUGCCGCCUGCGCCGCAUGGUCUUGUCCGUCUUCUGGGUUUCCAAAGGGGCAGCCAGGACAUGUCAGAUGACAUCCAAAAUGCAACCAUGAUGUGGCCACCCAGACAGUUGCCACGUGUAAUCAUUAGAUAUUGGGAGCACCCUAUUCUAUUUUGGGAAUAUAUAUUUGGUGGCCUCAAUAUGGAUAAUAAUAGAUGAAGUAAAAGAAAACGAAAAAUUUUCAAAUAUUAUUUAUGUGAUUUCGUACAUCCUUAUUUUAGUAUCCUGCGAUUUAAAAUAUAUUACUUUUGUAACCUGUAGUUUUUUUUUAUUAUUAUUCUCUUCACUAAUCUUUUUGGUUAAAUUACUUGUAAUUUUAAUUUUUUUACUAUUCUCUUCACUAAUUUUUUUCGUUAAAUUAAUGACAAAAUUAAAACUAAAGAAUACUAAAAUGGAUAUUCGAUAAACUAUAGGUGGGAUAUCUGAAGUUUUUUUUAUAUAAUUUAACGAAAAGUUAACGAAGGAGCUGUCAAAAGAGAAAAAUAAAUUAUAGGAUACUAAUUAAAUUAACACACUUUAAACCACAAGGUAUUAAAGUGAGAAAGUGCGAAAUCACAGGGGUGUUAUUUGAAGUUUAUUCUAAAAAAACUUUACUUUUAUAAAAAUAAUUUUUACAAUAGUAAUUUUUCAGUUCAAUUGUUUAAUUGGCUAUAAAAUAAAAUAUUAAAAUUACACCUUUGUAAUUUUGAUUAUCGAAUUAUAUAUAAUGUGAUGAAAAUAUAAAUAAACGACUUAUACUUGCAAUUUAAAUAAUAGUGAUUUGGAUUGUAAAAUGAGUAAUGAUCAUUGAUAUUUUGCCUAUCAAAAUUGUAAAAAUUGGUGUGUAAAUUUUACUAUUGGUCAAUGAGUUUGUUGUAAAAAUUCAAGUUAUUUUUAGGAUUAAUUUCAUACACGUUUCUGCAAAAAUAUUAAAUAAUAAAUAAAUCAUUACAAAAUUUAAAUGAUCAAAUUUGUUUCUUCGAAAAUUUUUUGGUUUGUAAAUAUAUUCCUCUAAAACUCUUAUUUAUUCGCAUUCAUAUAUGUCCUUACUGUUUGAUUCACUGUUAAUAUUUUAACAGUGGUCAUGUAAAAUAACUAUUUUGCCCUUAUAAAUUUGUUUCCGUAAAGAAUUAUCUUUCUUUCGCUCUCUUUGCCUUCUCCGUGGUAUGUGCAACGUAUCUCAUUUUUGCCGUAACCGAGGGCCUCGCCUUUGACUUCACGGUCGCCAUACAUAGAUCUUUUAGUCGCCAUGAAUAAAAAAAAAAAAAAAGGAUGAGAAAGAUAACGGGGCUUAACAUCGAAAUACGUACAAACUAUACAUAAGAGAUAAAAAUGAUGAAAUACAAAUUAUAUAUGUAAGGGAUAAAAGAUCACUUAUACUUCUUAACUAUCUGUGAUUGGCUUUUUUUUUUUUUUUUUUUUUACCCAUGAUUAUCUAAAUUUUAAUAAGAAAAAGAAUAUAUCCAUAGACAGAAAGACUUUUGGAAAAAUAAAUCUGAUAAUUUAAGUUUUCUACUAAUAUAUUUACUAUUUAAAAUCUUUAAAUAGAGUCAUAUACAAUUAUACUCUAUUUUUAAUUGGCGUAAUGAAUUUUAAUCUGUAUUUUAACCUAGUCAUUUCUCAAAUUCAAUUUCAACUUAAUUUCUCUAACAUACUCUUUUUUUAUAUAAAAUAAUGACUUGAAAAUUCUCUAACAUACUCACUUUUUCUAAUAAAAUAAUGACUUGACGGCCAUCAAUUUUAACAGAAUGAUUUAGUAACUAAAUUGACAGUAAAUUUUGGGAAAACUAAAAAAAAAAAGCCCUGUGGUUUCGUGGUUUCUCACUUUGCCCCCCUGUGGUUUCAGAUGUAUCAAUUUGGUCUCCUGUGGUUUCUUUUUUCUCUUUUUCUUAUCAAUUUUUUUUUUCUUAAAUUAGUGAUAAAGUUAAUUUAAAGGGUACUAAAGUGAAUAUUUGAUAAAUCUAGAUGGGUAUCUGAAGUUUUUUAUAUAUAAUUUAAUGAAAUAUUAACGAAAAAGCUACCGAAAAGAUAAAAACGAAACCACAGGGGGGUAAUUUGAUAUAUUUUAAAUCAUAGGAGGGCAAAGUGAGAAACUACGAAGGGGGUGUUUGAAGUUUUUCCUAAAAUUUUCUUUGAAAAAUAAAUUAGUGGUCAUGCCACUUAUUAAUAAGGUGAUAAUUAAAAAUUGAAAUAGUUGUAAAUUGUUGUUUUGUUUCGAUGCUUCCAAUUUAAAUAAAAUUUGAACUUCAGUUUCUCUACUGAAUAAAUUGAAACUCCAUGACCUAAAUAAAAUAUUUUGGGUAAACUUUAAAUAUCGAUCACUCCUCCAGUUUCAUACUUUCUCACUUUAGUACUCUGUGAUUAAUUUAAACCCCUUCAUUAACUUUUGUUAAAUUAUAUAUAAAAAACUUUAGAUACCUCAUCUACAAUUUAUCGAAUAUUCGUUUUAGUAUUCUUUAGUUUUAACUUUGUCACUGAUUUAACGAAAAAAUUAACAAAAAGAAAAAAAUAAAACAACGGGGUAUAAAAAAACAAUACACUUUAAACCACAAGGUACUAAAGUGAGAAAAUAUGAACCCACGGGGUGGUAUUUUAAGAUUUUUCAAAUAUUUUUGAAAGUUCAAUAACAAAUGAUGUAAGAGACCUCCUACAUUUGUAUGUUUAUUUCUACUCGAAUACUUUAUUUUCAAGCUAAGAGGAUAUUUCGUUACUAGCAGCUAUAAUUUAUAAAUAUUGAAAUUAUAACUAUAUACAAAUUCAAAUACAGUAUUUGAUUUCAUGUUUAAACUUAAUUCUUAGAGUUGAAUCUAUAUAAGGAGACUCGACUACAUUAGUAAGAAUUAUGUACAGUAGCUAGAGAUAAUAAUUUUAAAUAAGAAAUAUUUUUUACUUCUGGCAUUGUCAUUCUCUUAUAAAAUGACAAAAUUUAUUAAUAUAGUUUUCAACUGCAUGUAAACAAGCAAAUCAUCCAUGGUUAUUACACUUUGGAAUGCAUCUAAUCAAAUAAUAUAUAUAUAAUUUUAAUUAUUAUAUUUAUAAAUAUAUCUGAUCAAACGUUUCUUAUAAGUGUAUCUACCAAUUGCAUCAGCGGGAUGUUAUAAAUUUGACUAAUAAAUUUCGGCAAAAUUUUUAAAAAAACUAUUUAUAUAUACAUAUAUUUUACAUACGUAUAAAUCUUACAUUCAAGCACUGUGUAGAAUUUACAAAAAACCUAAAUUAAGUUCUAGUUUAAUAAUAAUAAAAUAAGUUAAAAAUAAUGCGAGCAUUUUCCAGCAUUGCUCGAUAUAAAAAAGGCGUCACGCACCCAACACGAUGCGAUGCGAAGUAAUUCGUGCAAGGGAGUUGGGGACAUGAUUAAUUUCCAAACCCCGCAUUAAUUAAGGCACGUGCAGCGUCACGUGAUCCGAGUCAGAGGCACGGGCGCGGCAUUUGUUGGGAGUGUGUGGACCUCCACCACCUCCCCAUUACCAGUUUAAUUAUUUACUAGUUAGCACCGACGGUCUCUAGAGCAAGUCGGCAAAAAAAUAUUGAUAGUUGGUAUCCGAGAUCUCAAAUUUGAAUUUUAGUUAGAUUUACAUUUUCAGCUAAGUUUAUUUCUAAAUGAAAUAAACAGAACGAAUAGCGUGCUAUCUGUCUCUCAAAAAAAUAAAAAAAUUAUUUACUAGUUAGUGAUUACCACCCCUUAAUUAUUUCCUACACCGAGCGUAUCAUUCACUACCUCACAUUUCCUGUUUCAAAUAUUUAACAAUUAAUAUUUUCUUACAAAUUUAUUAGGCCAAUUUGCAUAAAACUUCACUAAUUUUGAAAUUUCGUAAACAUAAGCUGUCUUUUUAGAUUUUGCAAAUUCGAGCUAAAUUUUUCAAAAACUAACGAAAAUACUAUUAUUUUCUUUUCUCUCUCUCUCUCUCUCUUUUUCUCCUGUUCUUUUUUUUUUUCUCCUACUGUACUCCAUCGUCUUUGUGGCCCUCCAUGACUGUAAUGAGGACAAUGUCACGUUUUCUUCCUCCGUUUUCACUAGUGCAGGCGUCGAUGCCAGUAUCGGAGGAGGAUUCGAAGCGAACGUAGGUAAGAGCGGGCAGACGAAAGUGAUGAGGCCGUGGCCGAGGCGGUGCUCACUGUCGCCCGUGAGAAUGAGGAUGAAGAGUACAAUUUUCGCCGGUGUAACUUUCACCAAAGAGUGCAACUUUCGUCUAAAAAUGUAUAAUUUUUAUAUCAAAAAGUACAACUUUCUUUUAAAACAGCAUAACAUUUUUCUAAAACAGUACAAUUUUAUCUUAAUAUUAGAAUAUUAUCUUCUUCUUCUUUUUCCUAGUUCUUCGCUUUUUUUAUAGAAAAAAAAAUCUUUCUUUACUCUUUUUUAUUCUUUAUUUUUUUUUUUCUAUCAUCUGCAUCCUUUUUCGCUAUUGUGAUCUCUCAUUUGCCCUCUACUACAACCAUCAUCAUCGCCGAAAGCGCUCAUGGGAGAUGUGCGGGCGCGUUUUCGUUCUCACCCCUUCACGGGUGACAACGAGCACUGUCUCGGUUACUACCUAAUCACCACCUCCGUCCACUCCACUCUCACUUGCGAUCACUCUGAGUCCCCCUCCUUUGGCGUCGGCGCCGUCGUCGGUACCUGCGCCGGAGAAGGUGGAGGAAGAGAAUGAAAUAUUGCUCUUAUUACUAUCGCGGAAGGCUGUGGGGGUGUCGAAGGAGAGUCGGAGAGAAAAAAAAAAGAGAAAAAUGAAUAAGAAUAUUUUGAUUGAUUUUCUGAAAAUUCUAUUUUUACAAAAUCUCAAAAUUAAUAAAUUUUUUAUGCAAAUUGGUUAAUUUAUUAUCCAAAAUAUUUUGCCACCCAAUAGGUAAUUAAGAGUUAGAUUUUGAUAUAAAUUUAUUAUUAUAAUAAAAUUUUAGAAAUGGAACGAACGUGUUAUACUUGUACUUGCACAUCAAUUGCAUGAAGUAAUUCAAUCGCUACUUCUUUCUCGCACGCACGAUCACAUUCCGGUUUUUGGCCAACCAUGCGACAGUAAGAAAGGAUAAUAAUUAAUUAAUUAUUUAUUUAUUAAUUUUAGUAAUAGGUAUAGUAGGUAUAGUAAUAGAUCGUACGUACGCAUGCGAUCGUUUUGUCGGCCAACAGGAUCGCGACACGUGGUGCUCUCCGUCGUGCGCCGCACUUUUUUUUUUUCCGUAAAUUUUUGCGAAAUUUUCACCCCAUUUCAAUUUUUUUAAUUUUUGUCCCCAUUUUUCUUAUAAUCAAAUCUCUAAAUUUUUUUUUAUUUUAUAAUGAUUAACUCUAGUUGUUAAAAAAUAGGUUAAUUUUAAUGAAAUUUGUCAUCACACUGCCUACAAUGCCAGCUAAUUAUAUUAUUUAAAAUUGUAUUUAUAUUUUAAAUUUAAUUUAUAUUUAGAAUACAAUUUUAAUUUUAAUUUAAUAUUUUGAUAUUGUAAUUAAAUUUCAAGUUUAAAUUUAAUUUUGAAUUCAAUCUUUCACCUUUUUUCAGUUAGGUUUCGAAAAAUGUCUAUGCAAGUGUUCAGGCGGCGGCGCUAUCAAAUUUAAUGGCUCUUUUAACGGCCGGAACUUAAAAUUGCAACAAAAAUAAAGAGAUAGAAAAAUUUAAUGGCAAAAAAAAAAAAUUGUUCGUGACCAAAGUGAAAAAAUAGGUGAAAAGAUUGCGAACCAAUGAUGCAACUAACCCUUUUAAAUUUAAGUGUUGGUUAUAGAUGUGGGAGGAAUAUCAAGUUGUUUGAUUUGAAAUUAUAAUUUCAAAAUAUGUAAAUGCAUAUAAAGCAAAUUUUACUUUUUAGAAUAAAAAUUAAAAAUAAAACUAGAUUUUUUUUCAACAGAAAAGGUAUGGACUUUUGCUGUUUGAAACUAAGGAGUUAGCUAACAACUUAAUUAACAUAAGAGCCUAGUUGAGCAAAACUUUAUGGUGUCCACUAAUUAACUUGAUUUAAUAUUAAACAGAUUUUCUAAAUUUAGUCAAAACUUAAGUCCAAACUCAAGCUCAAAUCAUAUGUUUAAGCUCGCCUUUUUUUAACUUUUAUUUUUUAACUGUUCCAGCUUAAAUAUAUGAGUGGAAAAACUUUCAAUUUAAUGUGUUACCGAUCUUCUGGUAAACAAAUAAUAGCAAAAUUGAAAGAACUCUAUUUCUCAAGUUACUAAGUUCUAUACUGAUUUCGACCUAGCCUACAAAUUCAAUAAUAUAUUUCGAAACGCUUAAAUUUAUGAAACGCUUUAAUGUAAUAAUAUUUAUUGAUAAUUCAUAGCUUUGGUAGUCCUAAUGAUAUAUUCAUUGAUCCUCUUUGCAUAUAUAUAUAUAUAUGAAACCACAAUAUUUUUUGUCACAUGGCAUGUUAUCUUUCAUUCUCAACGCCUAAUCCUUCACCUAAUCACCUCCCCAAUCCUCUAAUUACAUGAAAGGUGCAAUAUUUAAUUAUAUACACUAUACUAAUAUUCUAUUGGUUUUAUAACUUUAAUCCACUCAUCUUCUUCAUUAAUCUUCCAUCCUCUCUCUUUUGUAACUCUUUUGCAUGCAGCAAAAAUUUUUUUUUUCCACAUAAUAUGUUACCCUUCAUUCUCAUAGCCCAAUUUAAUUAUAUGCAUCAUACUAAUAUUCUAUUGGUUUUAUAACUUUAAUCCACUCCCCUUCUCCAUUAAUCUCUCAUCCUCUUUCUUUUGUAAUUCUUUUGCAUGCAGCAUAAAAAAACUUUUUGCCACGUGAUAUGUUACCCUUCAUUCUCAUACCUCAAUUUUAAAUUAAAUCACCUUCUCCUCUUCUCAACGUCCAACCCUUUACCUCUCCACUUCUCUAAUUACAUGCAAGGUGCAACAUUAAUUAUAUGCACCAUAUUAAUAUUCUAUCAAUGAGUAGGUUCUAGCUAUAAUUUUAUUUUUUUAACAGUUAAAUUUGGUAAUGCAAAUUGGCUGUACUUAACAUCGUAUAGCUUCCUAUAUAUCAAUAAGCUAUAAAUAUACAUUUUAUUAAAAUUUUUAAAUUUUGCUUAUAUUAUUUACCCGCUGCAUCGCGCGGGUCUCUAUACUAGUAUAUAUAUAUAUAUAUAUAUAUCAAAUUUAUUUUUAGUUUCUUGCAAUUGCUUUUGUUGAUAUAUACUUAAUUACUUCUCUUUACUGCUUUCAAUUUGUAUUACUUUUUUUAAAAAAAUAAAAUGUAGACCUUCCUUCUUAUAUUGGAUAUAUAUAUAUGCAAUAAACAAUAAUAUUUUUAAAUCAUGCAAAUUGCCCCAUUAUGGUAUUUUCAUCAUGUCGACUCGAAUAUUUUAAACUUAGAGAUACUAUUAGUUGAAAUGACCCUAAAAACAAGUAAUUAAUUUGUUGAAGUAGAACAAAUUUUGAUUCACAUUGAUAUAAUUAGCUCUUUCCAACUUUGCGUUGGUUUGUUCAUUUUGCGGCUCGUGAUCUCCACUUGUUUGACAAACGCAAAGUCUAGUUAAGAUAGCGAAUAAUCGACUUUUGCGCUUCUAUAUUAAUUUCUCAUUUGUUGACUUUCGUAAUAAUAAUAAUUAAUAAAAAAAAUGGAUCCAUGAUAGUUCAUGCUCCCCCUCAACUUCCUCUACUGUAACAUUAUCAAAUUGUACUCGCCCUUUGGAUCUCCUAUUAUCGCACUAUAUUAUUUAUUUUAGUCUCUAAGUGAUUUGGUUAGCAGGUUCCCUGUUUGAAAAAUAAAAAAUCAAAAUGUUUGUUUCAGAUGUAAUUAUUUAAAAGAUAAUUAAAUUGCACGUCUGGUCGCCAAACUAUAAGGCGAGUGAUACUUUGGUCGUUAAAUUUUAAUUUAUUGUAAUUUCCGACUCAAACUUUCAAAACUAAACUGAAUUUAAUUUAUUAAGUAUUGAUAUAUUAUUAAUAUAAAAGUGAUGUACGUAGCAGUAUGGUGAUUGAUGAUGUACUAAUAAUUAAAAUUCUAUUUCAUUUUUACAUCAGUUGUGCAUCAAUUUUUACACAACUAAGUUGGAUUGUGAUCGAUUUGAUUACAAUAAUUCUGAAAGUUUUAGCAAACAAUUAUAAUAAAUUAAAACUUGAGAGCUAAGAUAUCACCUACCUCAUAGUUUGAGGAUCAAACACUCAAUUUACCCUUAUUUAAAUUGGGGAAAAAACUUCACUUUCUUAAUCAUUGACAAUUCCUUUACUGGUUUUUCCUUAAUUGCCCAAUGUAUUUCAAGAGUCGCCGAUUAUAAGCUUAAGGCCCUGUUUGGAUACGUAGUUAAAAAACUCCAUGGAAUUUUUAUUCUAUAAUUUUUGUCUAAAUGAAAUACGGAAUCCCGUAACUACAAAAAUAUUCCAUAGCUUCAUUUUUAAGCUGUUUGGAUACAGAUCAUACAAUUCCACAAUAUUUAUAACAUUAAAUUUCUAAAAUUCAAAAUUUAAAAUUCAAAAUUCAAAUUAAAAAAUAAAAUUUUAAAAUUAAAUUCAAAAUUCAAAAUAUAAAAUUAAAAUUAAAAUUAAAAAUUAAAAAUUAAAUUAGAUUUAUGUUUUAAAUUUGAAAUUUGAAAUUUGGAAUUUGAAAUUUAAAAUUUAAAUUUGAAACUUAAAUUUUAAAAUUUAAAGUAUACCAUUUAAACUUUAAAAUUUGAAAUUUAAAAAAUCUAUAAUUAAAAUUUUAAAUUUUAAAUUUAAUAAUUUAUAAAUUUACAUAUUUAUAAAUUUAAAAUUUAAAAUUUAAGUUUAAAUUUAAAUUUUGAAAAGUAAAAAUUGAAAAUUAAAAAUUAAAUUAAAAUUUGAAAUUUGAAAUUUUUGAAAUUUGAAAUUUGAAAUUUGAAAUUUGAACUUUUUCAAAUUUGAAAUUUGAAAGUUGGAAAUUUGAAAGUUGAAAUUUGAAAAUUUUGAAAUUUGAAAUUUGAAAGUUGAAAUGUGAAAUUUGACAUUUGAAAGUUGAAAUUUGAAAGUUGAAAUUUGAAAUUUGAACUUUUUGAAAUUUGAAACUUGAAAUUUGAAAUUUGAAAUUUGAAAGUUCAAAUUUGAAAUUUGAAAUUUGAAAUUUGAAAUUUGAAAUUUGAAAUUUGAAGUUUGAAAUUUGAAAUUUGAACUAAAUUUGAAAUUUGAAAUUUGAAAGUUGAAAUUUGAAAUUUGAGAUUUGAUAUUUGAUAUUUGAUAUUUGAACUUUUUGAAAUUUGAAAUUUAAAAUUUAAAAUUUAAAUUAAAAUUGAAUUUUAAAAUUUUAAAUUUUGAAAUUUAAAAUUUUAUGUUGAAAUUUAAAAUUUAGAAAUUGAUACAUCUUUGGGAACUCAAAAUGGUGAAAUUUUUUUCAUUUGGUUAAAGUGGAUUGUAAGUUUACUCCAUUUUUUGGAGUAUAGUAUAAUUAUACUCUAAAAAUUACGUUAUUUUUUUUUUCUUCCAAACGUUUCAUAGGAUUAUUUUCCUACCGGCGUAGCAUAGUUUAACUAUAACUAUGCUACGUUUUUAGAGGUAUCCAAACGGGGCCUAAUUAAGACAUCACUACUAUUGUUUCAAUGUGUGAAUAUUACUCAUCUGAUAGAAAAUAUAGAUUUUUUAUAUUUGGGUUGGCCUAAAAUUCAAACAGUAGAGAUAUGUGUGUGUUUGUAUGUAUUCAAAUUAUAUUGAGUCGAAUACGAGUGAGUUAAUCCCAGCUUAUGUUUGAUUGGUUAAGAUUUCAAACUAAGAAAUUUACUUCGUGUUUGGCUCGUUUAUUAAAUGAGUGACCGAUUUCGAGCUGAUUUUCAGCCGAAUAUGAAUUGAUUCGUGAACACCGGGCAGAAUUGCUAUUUCUAUUCACAAGUUUUGUCUAAACUAUAGUUAAUUGCUUUAUGUAUUCCAAGAGUUGCAGGUUAUAAUAAGCUUAGGGGCUGCUUGAUUGGAUAUAGUUAUAAAAUUAGUGUAGUUGGAAGUACAUGCAGUUGCAAAUGCUGCAGUCAUAACUACACCUAGUCUGUUUGGUUUUACAUAGUUGUAAUUGCUGCGGUUAUAUUAAUUUCUUCUGUUUGGUAGGCUGCAGUUGAGAUUUGUAUUUGUAAAUUCUGUCAAUUAUUAGAUAGAAAUAUGAGAUUAUUUCUUCUGAACAUAGCAUAAUCAUGAGAUCUUUUAAUUAUUGAUUAAAACUUUUAUAUUUAUAUAUUAUAAAAUUAUGUAUGAUUUAAUAACUUUUAAAUGCAAAUAUAUUAUAAAUUUGGUCAAAAUCAAAAUUAAGGCAUUGUUGAAUUAGCAGACUAGAAAAAAAUGAAACGUACGAAAAAAAAAUUAUUAAACCCUAACAAACAUUAUUAAAGCCUAAUAGAUUUCAUGAAUAAGUAUUCUUGGGAAAAAAAAAGUUAAAAAAAGAAGUGUAUAAAAAAAAAUUAUUGAAUCUUAACAGACAUUAUUAAAAUUCUAGCAGAUUUCAUGAAUAAGUAUUCUUGAAAAAAAAAAAGUUGAAAAAAGAACCAUAUGAAAAAAAAAAAGCACACUUUAUUUUUUUUUUUAAUGGGUGAGCCGACUCCGGCCCAACUGCUGCAGUUGAUAUUGCAACCAAAUUGGCUGCAGUACCAACUGCUGCAGUUGGGCCUUCUCGUGCAGAUACAACUAUAGCAGUUGGGUCUAACUAUACUAAACCAAAUAAAAAUUUGAUAGAUACAUACAUUUUCAACUGCGCUGCAGUUGAAAAUGCAUGCAACCAAAUAGCCCCUUAGUUAAGAUAUCACUAUAAUGGUUGCAACGUGUGAAUAUUACUCAUCUGAUAGAUGAUUCAUGAUUAAGAACUGUACAUUAAACACAGACUUAGAGUGCAUAAGAUAAGGACUUAACUAAUAAUUGCUAACUACUUCCAUUUAUGGUGUCAUCAUCUUGUGACCGCAACAAGUCCACAACCAUAGUUCCCCACAAGCACCCUUGCCCAUCACAACUAUCCGUUCAGCUACCACCACCGUCCGUCUUUUUUUUUUUUCUUUUUUAAAAGAGAAAGGUAAAAUGCUAUUCGCAUUAUUUAUUUUUUAGGAUUCGAACUUUGAGGCAUCGAGUAUCAACCACCAAAUUCUUUGUCAUUUGUGCUAGAGACGGUUGGUCACCACCGUCCCUGUCGCCAUCAUAUGUUGGUAGAUUGCACCACUAUUAAUUCCUCGGACUUUGAGUUUGAUUUUAUUUUGAUUCUCAAAUUUUUGAUUUCAGCAUUCGAGAUUCCAAACUUUUAACAAAAUUUUAAUUUAGUCCAUAAGGUUUCAACAGUAUUUUAUUUUAGUUCUUACUUUAGAAUAUUGAAAAAUAUCGCUUGUACCUAGUUUAUUCGUUUGUUUAUACACUAUGAAUUAAUCCAUUGUGGUUUCAUCCAUCUCAAACUUUCAUUUCAGAGAUCCAAUUUUCUUAUGGCGGGAAAAAAAAUUUAGAAUUUAAUAAAUUAAUAUAGGAAUGUAUAGAAACGCUGAUGAGUAUAGACAAUAACUUAUCUUAUAAUAAUAAAUAUAUAAAGAAAGUAAAAUGAACUCCUUUAAAAAGUUUUAAAAUUAUUCACAUUGAACUUUUCCUUUUUUUGAGGGAAAACACAUCCUAAGAUAAUUUUAUUUAAUUAAUCGAGUGAUACAGACUGAAUAAACUAAUCAACGGAAGUCCAAAAGGAAUACUCUUUGCCGGUGAGUCCCCAGUUAGGAAAACAAUCCAUGACUACAGCAUCUUUAGAAAAUCUCGAAAUCCAUCUAAAGCUAAAAUGUUUGAAUUUCUCCCUACAAAAAAUCCAUAGAUCGGUGAUCUUGGUUUGAACUUCGGCGAUCAGCGAACCCGAAUGAUAAUUUCUAAGAUGCAAAGUUUUGAUGAUAGAUUGUUCCGAAUUUACAAGUUUGAGGAUCAAAAUGUGGCAAAGAUUGCAAGCUUAAGAACUAGAAAUGCAAUUUCAAGCUUUUCAGCUUUUCCCAUUUCAAGAAACGCGGGAAACCUGCGGAGGUGGAUUUGAUUUCGGGAAAUUUUGUCCCAGCCCGCCUCGGUUUUCGCCGACCUCCGCACGUGGUCCAGCUGGGAGUCGCACUCGCACUGCCGCUGGGAGUCCACCGCCCACCCGACCUUUCCCGCGCUUCGAUACGAAUUUUGGCGCCAAAUUUGGAAAUAAAGGAUGCCGGAAAAACAGAUUUCGCGCCAGAACGCGUCGGCAUCGGCAUCAAUAAGGCGGGCCCACAGUCUGUAUUUGGCGCCAAAUUUCGAAUUCCAAAGAUGGCUGUCUGUGGCAACUGACUUUUUUAAAUCAAGUCUAGAAAGCGAAGAAACAUUUGUCUUGCUGUUUAUUCUGAAAAUAGUAAGAAGAUUCAGUAGAUAUCCGUGAAUUUAAAUUCUUGAAAAUAAUGUUUUUUUGAAAUGGUUUGAAGUUAUCUCUAGUAGAAAAACUUAGAAUUUAGUCUAGUCCUUUAUUUGAUGGUGAAUCUCUAAGUACCUGCUAAGGUCCAAGUAGGAUGUCAACGGAUCGGAUUCGGGGCGAAUUUUUAAAAAUCCGAACCCGAACCCGACUCCAAAUUCAAAAUCCGAAUUCCAAACCCAACGGAUUUCAAAAAAUCAAUAUCCAAACCCGAACCCGACGAAAAAUCCAAACCCGAAUCCGAACCUGAACUCGAAAAUUCGAACCCGAAACAAUUGUUUCUCUUUUUAAUAUUUCAAAAUAUAUUAAUUAAAUCUAAAUUUUUAAAGUACAAAUUUAAAUAUAACAUCAAAUUUUAUAUACAUGUUAUAUAUAAUGUAAAAUAAAUUCGGGUUCGGGUCAAGUUCAGGUUCGGAUUGGGUACAGUCAAAAUCCAUAUCUGAAUCCAUAUCUGUCGGGUUUUUGUUUUUGAUAUCCGUAUUUGAAACCAUAUCCAUUUAGCAUCGGAUAAAUCUACUCUGUUUGGAUUUGGAUUCGGAUAAAAUUUCAAGUAUUCGUAACCAUUGACAUCCCUAGAUCCAAAUGUUGUCCCGCUCUAGGGUAUAAUAUUGUUCACAAAAUAUUGUUUGACUAAUUAUGACACUGUUGAAAACACAGUAGUUUACGAGUAAUGCGUUUAAAAGAAUGUAUAGUAAUUUACAUAUAUUUUUUUUUCUGUAAUAAAAUUAGAAAAGCUGCAAAUCAAUGCUUUUGUUUUGAGUUCAAAUAUCUUAUCUUUAUUUUUUCAAUAAAGUUCAAAAUAUUAUCUUUAUUUUUUCAAUAAAGUAGUAGUUCUAAAUUUGAUAACCUUUACCAAGCGCUUUGCUCAAAUUCCCAAUGGUAAAGUAGAAACUUCUAUAAGACAAAACAUAUUCGUAGGGCUAGUUUGAUGUUGAGAUUGAUGUUGAGAAAUUAACCGCCGUAUCUAUUGGCCUACCACAAUUAUCUAGAUUAAUCAUUUGGUACAAUCUUUAUAACACUAAGAGCUCGUUUGGUAUUGAAAUUCAUAUAAUGUUAACAAAUAAAAUAAUGUUGGAAAAAAAGCAUAUAAGAAUAUGGUUUAUUAUUUUUCAGUAGGACCAUAAAAAAUAUAUCGUAACUGACUCAUUAUGAUAUGGAGAAUACAAUAUUACAUACAAAAGUAAACAUAAAAUUUUCUCAUUAUAUUUUCCUAAUGUACGUGAUGCAAUCUCUCCACAAUCCAGGCGAAGCCUAAGAGAUUGUUUAGAGUCAAAAGGUCGGAAAGCGAUAAACUUGUGAAUUUCAACAACUUGACCUCGUCCCCCAUCCCACCGAUAUAGAAAGACCGAUCGAUCGCCAUAUAAUUGUGAUGGAAAGUUCUAAAUAAUCUUGCAACUUCAAUGUCGAAACAAAUACUGAUGCCGAACUACUUUCUCAAAUUCACGAGUUCAAUCUCUAAGACGAACAGAAACAAUAAGGCCCUUUUAUUUUUCCUAAACAAAUAAAGAACUCAUCAUCUUCACACACACACACACACACACGCAUAAAAUGGGGCUCAAUGCACGAAAAGGGGCGUUGGUAGAUGAGAGAGAUAUAAGGAGGUUGGGACAGUUGAGCUGUUGAGUGGGGUUGGGGGGUACGUGGGGGGAACCCAUAUGCGUAACGCACAUAUGAAGCAUCUCCCCUUUUCCCGUAACUUAGUUUUCCAACCAACAACACUGCAAGAAUCAGGGAACAUAUGCUUCCCCCACCCUUCACGAGUGCAUGCAUGCAUGGGGAUAAAUUCCACUUGACCUUGUUAGCCACUAACGUACGUAUGCUCAGUUAAGGAUGUUGUCGAGGAGAAGAUCUUAAUUUAAUCAAAACCGAAAGAGGAUUUGUUUAGUUCUUCUCUAGUUAUAACACUAAGGGGGCGUUUGGAUUGACGAAUCUGUAAAUUUAAUGUAACUCAAGUGCAGUGGUGUUUGCGUUUCCCUGAAGUGUGAUUAUAUUUUUGUUCUUCUGUAGUUAUAACACUAAGGGGGCGUUUGGAUUGACGAAUCUAUAAAUUUAACGUAACUCAAGUACAGUGGUGUUUGAGUUUUUCUGAAGUGUGAUUAUUUUUUUGUUCUUCGGUAGUUAUAACACUAAGGGGGUGUUUGGAUUGAUGAAUCUGUAAAUUUAACAUAACUCAAGUGCAAUGGUGUUUGAGUUUUCCUGAAGUGUGAUUUUUUUUUGUUGUUUGUUUUGACGUAACUCGUACAGUCUGAAAGUUAAAUUUAAUUAUUUCUACUAUUUAUUUUGAUAUAACUUGGUGCUGGUGAAAUUAGAUUUUUUUAGUUCCAUUAUUUAUUUUGAUGUAAGUAAGUGAAUCCCGUUAUUUUCUAAAUAUAGUGGUAAAUUUACCGUUAUAAAAUUUAAAUUAUUAUAUAAUUAAAUUUUUUAUUAUUAUUUAAAGGUAAUCCUAAAUUUAUUAUAAAUAAGAUAAUUCUAAUCCAUUAUAAAAGAAGUAGAGUUUAGAUUUUACUAUUUAAUAAUUUUUUUAGAGGAGGUUGAGUGUGGUGGAAGUCAAGUUCGGUACUUUAGAGGAGGGAGUCAAAAGUAGGUGAAGUGGAUGUCUAACGUAACUUGAGUUACAUUAUAUUUUUAACUUACACCAAAACAAAUAACAAAAAUGAUGAAACUUGAGUUCUAUCACUCCACUUACACCAAAACAAACGAACCCUGAGUGAAGUGUUGUUUGAGAUGUUUGAGUAGAAAAACCUAUAUUUAAAUCUCCGCUCUACAAACUUCUAGAGAAAGCAGAAGCUCAAAAUUGAUACGUAUGCUUUUCGGACUAGAUAGAAUUUUAUUUUAGCCUUCUGCUACAGCAAAUUCUCUCAAGUUUUUUCUGUACCUUACAAAUGGUUACAAAUGGUUUUAUAAUCAGAUCCUUUGUACGUAGUUAUGAUUUGGAAUUGAACCAAUUAAUAAAAUCACUUCUUGUUGAUUCCUAUUGCUGCAGGUGUAUAUAUAGUAGUAAUAUAUUAUCAUAUAGCUCCAUUAAAGUCGAGUCAGAAAAACCUUACCCUACGAAUAUUUGGAAUUGGUUACUUCUAGGAUCUCCGGUGAAUAUUUGGAAUUGGUUUGAUCAAUUAGGAUUUGAUUUGAUCAGUUUUGUUGGUUCACAGGGUUUAAACGAAUUACUGGCCAUUUUAGCUAUUAUGAUUAGACAUGUUAGAUUAAGCCUGGCUUAGGUGAAAUGGUCGACAUACCAAUAAAAAUAAAAAUUAAGGUCUUAAUUUUAGUCGUUCGCCACAGAAUGUUUUAUCAUAAGUGUGAUUUAAAAUAAAGAUUGAGAUUGAGUGCUCAAUUCUAUUUUGUUUGUGAUUGGGUCACGUAGCUGGUAAAGUAACCGCAAAGCUAGCAUAUAUAGUCGAACAUCUUCCAGAUCGAUUGGUCCACAUUUUUUGAGAGGAAGAAUAAUCACGAAAACUACCCAGCGAAGAAAAGAAAAGGAAGUUGUAACUGCACAGACGUGUUUUAGCCUCAGGUUUUUGUGCUAUCCUUUUGCUCUAGAGGGGCCAUAUAAGUUGCCAAUAUGUCAUUGAUAUUGGUUGGCUGGUACUUCUCAAGAUCUCGAAUCGUGAACGUACAACAUGAGGCCAUUGUUUGAUUAACUCAGUUGCAAAGAAAACAAAUUAAGAAACAUAAGAAAGAUCCAUCGCUUAGAAGCACAAAAAUAAGUAAUAGCACUAAUGCUUAUAAGUAAUUCUGGAGGGAAAACAUAUGAACAGAUCAAUUUAUAUAAGCGCUUAAUGAUAUUAACCGACCAAUAUAUGUUUACAUCAUGCACAAAUCGAAUAAACGGUCAAGCUUAAUUAAGUCGGUGAAUGAUGAUCAGAUUCAGCUCGAAGCCUCUCACUUUAGUUGUACGAAGUUUGAUCGUGAACUUGGUCGUUACAUUUAUCAUUCAACGAAGGCAUGCAAAUCAUGUGCCUGAAAAUAGGGUUGGUGGAAUUGAAAGCACUACACCUGUAAAGAUCCAACACAAAAGGACCAGCAAGAAUAUGUAGGUUGAGCCCUCUUCACACCCAAAUCCUAUUGUAGUUACUGGAAAGGUGGCAAACAAUGCAACUACAUAUGGAUUCUGCAUUUAAAGCAUUCCGAUCGUUUUGCUGCGGCAAAAGAUCUAAUCGGGACCACUUCAUGCAUGGAAGAUGCGUGGUUUUCGUUAUGUUUAUUAGUUUUCAUUUAGUUGAUCUUCUUUAUUCUUGUAAGCACAAGAACGUGAAAGUUUUUUCUUUUUUUUUUUUUUCUGAUCUUUUAUUGGACUUUUGCCAUGAAAACUUUCCUUUGUGCUCGUAAUUUUGCAAGACCAUUUUAAUUUCCUACGGUGCAAUAGCGUCCAAACCAAAGUUCUGAAGAGAACGAUUGUAAGGGUAUAUGUAUAUAAAGCCUAUGUAUAUAUUGGUAUUUACCAUCAAAGACCAAAAUCAGUAAAAACCAUGCAAACAAAGUUUCACAAACAAGGAGUGAAUGUGGAAAAGGGUAAUGUGUGACGAAAUACGAGCGAGCAAGAACCUUCUUAGUAUGAUUUAUUGCUUUAACUUCAUAAGCUUUAAAUCAACUUGCAAAACAUCGUGAUCGACUUAUUUAGUACAUUCCAUUGAAUGAGCAUCAAAUUUAAUUUGGUUCAUAUGUUCUGGUCCCCAACAACACAAUAAGUGCUCCGGCCCCAAGGAUACAUAUCAGAUCCAAGAUUCAGCAGCCUUAAUAAAAAGCUGAGGCAUCUUGCCAUGAACUAAUUGCGAAGGCGAAAAAUUGCACAACUAGUCUCUCAACUUUUAGCUAGUUAUUAAAUUCCCUUGAGGUACUUACUUUUUAGGGUAUCCUGCAAAAAAAAAAAAAAUUAUUUAUAUUAUUUUACAAACUAGCAUAUAUACGGCCGGUGAUAUUUAAUUUAUAAAAGAAUGUAAAUCAUGAGAAGAUGAACAUGUUAAUUAUCUUUCUGAGGUUGAAAUCUAACUAUUAAGUUGUAUAGUUUAUAGAGUACUAUGAUAUUUGUUGAUUAAUCUUUUAAUAAGACAUCUGAUCAUACCAACUUUGAACGUGUUACACUUUAGUACCUGUCAUUUACAGCUAGAGGAAAAACAAAAAAAUAUUGGCUGCACAAGGUGCACUACAUAUCCAUGCGCCAUACAUCAAUCAGUCCUCAGUUCCAUCUUAUUUUUCAAUAUUAUGUAUCAUGAGUCCUUACUUAAAAACUAGAUAAUUGGAUUGAGAGUGUAAAACGGACAGUAAUUAAGCCAGGAUUAGAGUGAAAAACUUGACACAAAGCUAGUUUCAGACUAGUAGUAUUGAUCGACAUUAAGCCAGGAUUGCUCAUUGCAGAACCUGCAAGAGGAGGCCAGUUUUCUUUGGCCACUUUACAGCAAAUUUCCUGCUAAUGCACUGCACAAAUUCAAGGGGGGAAACAGUACAGUACUGAUUCCCAUUACUCCUCAGCUAUUUAUUCUCUACUAAAAAUGAAUGUUUUGAAGGAUGGCCACACAGUGUCCUUCAACUGUUGGGGAAAGGCGAGAGAGAUAUAGUUGUUUUAAUGUAGGGAUUUUGAGAUCUUACUGUGGAUUUUCAGUAUCUACUGCUGCUUUAUUGAUUGAAAGAAAACAUUACAAUACUUGGAGACUCAAGUGUUUGAGCCUCAAUUCUCCGUUCGGACUUGGCCUCUCUAAGAUACGUUAUGUUCGGCCGCUUGAGAUGGACCGAACUUUGAAGGAUUUGAUUCUAUUGGCUCGGUUUAAAGUUGAAGGAAUCAAGAAAACUCGAGAUUCGGCCUGACAUUACAGAUAGCCAGAGUGUCAGGAAGUGCAUGGAUGUUGAAGUUAUUAAUGCUAGUAUGGUGAAAAGAAUAGAAAUUGUGGCGUGAUAGAAAUUGUAGUAUCAUGUACUCAUAAGUUUUCUGUCGUUAGAUUUACUCCGUUGACUAUUUUCAUUGGGUAGAUCAUACUAUUCAACUAACCACCCACUCAAUCCUAGGGAACUACUAUUAUCCUAAUCGGUGACCACUAUUAUUCUAAACGCAUAUCUUUACA
rnacentral:lncRNA from 1 species